rnacentral:lncRNA from 1 species
UUGACCUUGGGAAGUUAUCAUGCUCUCCAAAUUCUUUUGAGCUCAAAUAAGUUAAAAAGUUGUAUUCGAUCUCUUUUCCUACAGUUGUUCAGAGAUACAACGUCGAUUAUUGAUGCUACGGCUUUCGCAGAUCUAAACCACCUCAAUCAAUUAUGUAUUAGUAACGGUUCUGAGUUGGAAGAAUUGAAGAUUGAUUAUACGGAGAUAGUACGAAAAAGGCGGGAACCUUUUGUUUUCCGCAGCCUUCAACGUGUUACCAUAGAGGAGUGCCAUAAAUUGAAAGAUUUGACAUUCCUCGUUUUUGCUCCAAACCUCAAGUCUCUUUCGCUAUACGAUUGCGGUGCUAUGGAAGAAAUAAUCAGCGUCGGAAAAUUUGCUGAGACUCCUGAGAUGAUGGGACAUAUAAGCCCUUUUGAAAAUCUCCAAAUGCUUUAUUUAAUGGCAUUGCCGGAGUUGAAGAGCGUCUACUGGAAGCCAUUGCCUUUCACUCAUCUGAAAGAAAUGGAGGUACUUGGGUGUGAUCAGCUUAAAAAGCUUCCACUCGAUUCCAACAGUGCAAAAGAGCGUAAAUUUGUAAUUCUUGGAGACACACAGUGGUGGAACCGUCUUCAAUGGGAGGAUGAAGCCACUCAAAUUGCUUUUCGUUCCUAUUUCCAAACCUGAUUCCUGAGCGGUGGUCGCAAAAUUUGAUUUCUGGUGAGUGCGUUUGUCUUUUAAAAGAAGAAUUUAAAAGAAAUUUAUUCUUGUCGUUUUCUUCUCUGUUUUUAUUUCAGUUUGUUUCUCUCUCUCUCUUUUUGUCUUCUGCAAAUCACAAUUAAAUGUUGAAUUAAUGGAAUUAAUGCUUCAUAAAUUUGCCGGCACUGCCAGUACUUUUUUUUUUUUUUAAUACGAAUUGAUGCUUUAUUUAUUUCUUCUUAGCGAUUUAAUUUCCUGUCAAAAGACGAGCGAGAAGAACAUAUGACUUAAACCAAUUGAUACUUUAUUUAUGUGCAUUGUAUGUAAUAAAAUUUUCUCUGUUUUUUUCAAAUUGAGGCUUUAUUUAUAUUUUCUUCGUGAAGAGUGAUUUAAUUUCCUGCCAAAAGACAAACGAGAAGAACAUUAGAGUCAAACUAAUGCUCACAUAAAUUUCCCGUAAGAAUAUAUAUAUAAUUAGACUGGAAUGCACACCUCUAGAUUGAACAGAAUUAAAGCUGAGAAAAUAUUGAGUAUAGUAGCCCUCUUUACAGAAAAUGACGCGAAAGUUAAUUUAGAAAGAUAUAUUCUUGAUUAAUCCAUUUUCUGAAGUUUUUUAUUUUGUAUGGUCAAUUAUACCUUCAUACUAAAAAAAAAAAAAAAAAAGAGAAAAUAUGUAAUCCAUGAAUGGUUAAUUUUGUUUGUUUGUUUUUUUUUCUUAAAUAUCAUUCUUUUUCGGCCACCCAAGGACAUUUUCACAAAUACCUUUUGUGUGCAGAAGUCUUCCAAACCAUCAAUGGAAAAAUAAAAAAUAAAAAAAACACGGUCCAGUAUACCUCAAAAUAUCAUUGAUGACUUUUCUGGUCUAAUGCUAUGUAAAUAGUAUGUUAAGUAAAACAUAAUCAGUUCAGUACCUCACAAAUAAUUCGCAAUAUCUACAAAAUACUAUAAUGGCUACAAAACAAAUCCUGCUUGCAAAUUGUCAAGGAUACCUAUCCGUUCGCUUGACAAGUCAUUUGAAUAAAUAUUGUUCACAUUCCUUACUCUGUCAAUUAUCCAAAGCACCAUCAACUUUAGUUUGAAUAGUAUACAUGCCAUCACCGUUACCAAGAAUCAAGCAUGGAAGGGUCAUUCUAUAGAGUGCAGAACAUGACUCUAUGCGGUAGUCAAUUUGACACACGACGAACACCAUAUGCUGCAUAACAUACAAAUUAAUUUCCCAUAUGUGAUGCAAUUUUCUCCUCAACAUAUGCGCAAUUCUUUCCAUUCCGGCAUUUACACUCAAAUUUUCCUUCCUUUCUCUUUGUGGUUGAAUCUUACACCACAACUCAUGUGAUGCAAUCUCCUCUCGCUGCCUAAAUUGCACUCUCAGCAAAGCAGCAUAUGUAAGCAAGCUUGAAGAUAAUCUUGCUGCUCUGCAGAAGAACGGCAAAAGUUAAUCGAAGCAAGGAAUGAUGUAUCAGAAAAUAUUUGGUGGAGAAUUCAGCACAAACAUAUUUCGGAUGAUCAGAAUCAAUAAAACCUGGUGGUUGUGCCAUAUAAACAUCUUUGGAAAGCUGACCUUGAAGAAAGGCGUUAUUGAUAUCCAAUUGAUGAAGAGGCCAGCCAUGACUAACAUCAAUACUAAGAACAAGCCGUACUGUGGUGGACUUAACAACUGGACUGAAAGUGUCAUAAUAGUCCACACCAGGCCAUUGAUUGAACCCUUUGGCAACAAGAUGAGCUUUAAACCUGUCAACAGAACCGUUGGAAUGUCUUUUAAUACAAAAAUCCAUUUGCAGCCAACAAUAUUGGAAGGGAUGGGAGGUGGAACAAGCUUCCAUGUCCCGUUACGAACAAGAGCAUCAUACUCUUCUGACAUAGCUGGACGCCAGUGAAGAUUUUUGAUAGCUUGCGUCACAGUUGUAGGUUCACAAUCAGAAGAAGGGCUAAAAUGAGCACGGAGGUUAAGUUUUUGUAACGGCUUGUGAAUCUUAUUUUUAGCUCGGGUAGUCAUAUCAUGAUGACUUGUGGGGCAAUGAUCUAGUGGAGUUUAGGAAGAUGAUUGAACAGGAAGUGAAGAAGUGCUUUGUGUAGAGGUAGAAGUAGGUUGGGAGGAUUGCUGCGGAGAUGUUACCGGUAGAGAAGAAGGAGCAGUACACGGUGGCAACUCCAGAGGGCCCACAAUAGAUGGAGUAGGUGCCGACAAUGGAGUACUAGGAAAUGAAACAGGAAGAAUUGGUGGAACACUUGCAUAAUUAGGAGUGGUAGAUGAGCUUGUAAUGAUUUGCAUGGAAAAACAAACUCUACAAAUUUAACGUGACGUGAAAUAAAAAUUUGAAAGGUGGAUGGGUCAAAACAUAAAUAAGCACUUUGAGAUAAAGGAAUAUCCUAGAAAAACACAAGGCUUAGAGGGUGGUUCGAGUUUAUGUGAUGAAACACAAACAUUCAAAAAAUUUUAAGUUUAUAUUAAUUAGGAGUGGUACCAAAAAUUAAUUAGCUAUGGGGUUGUUGGAUGUGUUUUGGAUAUUUACAGUUAAGUUUGAGUAUCUCAACUUAAAAUUUGUAGUUUUCACUUGAAAAAAUUCAGUUAAAUUUUGCAAUGCAGACUGAUUGAUUUAUCAGUUUAACGUGUGCCAGGAAUGAAGAACUGGAAUAUCACCGUCAAGCAAGCACCCUGUGGAGCAAUACCAAAGAAUGCACAAUCUGGCUUUGCUAGGUAACACUGGAGGCUUUUUGAAAAGUGCUUCACGCUCACUUGCACAGAUUGAGCAUCCCCUCUGGAUAUUGCCCUCUCUGAUCGAGUCUGAGCACUCAAAUUUUGGUCCUCAGAGGGAGCUACAGUUUUCUCUCCACUAACCAACAAUAUUCUAAACUCAGCACCUAGUGUGAUCAGAGUUGUUGAUAUUUGCAAAUGGAGAUCCCCAUAUUUGCAAAUGGAGACAUUUAACAAAUCACCAACAUGCUUCAUCCGGUCCACGAAAUUCUGCAACUGAUGCAAAUCUGGAACCUGAACCAGAGUCGGAGGUAUAUCUUGAGCCAUAUCUAAAGCAGUUUGAAGUUCAAGACCUUGAGCCCUUGACAAUGGUUUUGAAAUUGGAACAUCUUGGAUUACUGCAGACUUGUACCCCUUGGUUUCAAAGGUAAGGAAAGGCAUUGCUUGAGUACAAUUUGGAGGCAGCUUCUUCACCAAUUUUAUUUGGAGGCGAUUGGCAGCGGAUCCAGCUGCACCAAUUUCAGAGCAACUACUGACACUACUUCGAACAGCACACUGAAGAAGUGAUAUGUCUACGGCGAAGGCAAUGCAGUCCUCAUUUUGGCUUGAGACACAGUAAUCAUCGAAGAGAGUUUCCUUGUGAAACUGGGCAACACAUUGAAUCCCUUCGGCACUGAGAAGGUUGUGGAGGAAGUAAGCUUUCUCUCUAGUAAGGAAGAGGUGGCAUACAUUCCCCAUUUUGUCUAGGGCAGGUAGGAAUCUUUUUUCUAAGAGAUUUACUUCAUUCUCUGUGAGAAAUGCUUUGAACUUCAUCCCUCUGUCUCUAUCCUCACUUAUCAGUAAAAUAGUUGAAAGCGCUACAAGGAGAGAAAAGAAGAGUAUUAAGAUAUAUAUAUUAUAUAGACAAGAAAAACAUUAGAUGUCGAUCUUACAAGCUAAUACUUCAAACAAUAUCCUAGAAAGCUAAAAACUGCAAGAUGGCUUGAAAUUUGAAAAGAGCACGUGCUUUUCCUCCUUAACUUGAGAAAAUGUUUAAUAUAGUGCACCUUACAGAAGCAUUUAAGCAAUUAGAACUUUGCACAAAAACAUCAAGAAGACUAAACAAGUCAGAUGCAGUGUAUUUGUCCAAGCACAAAUUGCAUUUUGUCCUCAACUUUAAUAUUUAUUGAUGAGAAUCAAUACAGGUCCCUCAUUUGUUAUAGAAAGCUUUCUUGUAGUCUCACCAGUUAAUAUGGAUAUUAGAUAAGGAAACUUUAUUAGGUUGCGAGGGUAAAAAAGGAAAGAGAUAUCAUUAUUUUAUUAUCGAUAAUUAUUAAAUUUUUUUCCAAAAAAAAGAACAAGCAAGGAUAUUUUAUUGUCAAUUGCAACCUUUAAUUUUUUUAAAUGCUAUUAGAAACACAAGAUAACAAAAAUGUAGUGAGAUGGGAUCUCCUGCAUGCCACUCUGGUUUAGAACACAAAGAAUGUGUCUGCAUAAAUAUCCUCUGAAAUUGAACAACCCACAAACACAAAGCACCUCCAAGUCGGAGGCAUUGUACAAAACAUCAAAAGCCCUUGAAUCCUUCUCGUUGCCACCAACCUCGAAUUCUUCCUUCACUAUGUAUGUUAUAGGUCCAUCAGAACUAAUAUGUUUUGUGCUAUAGUAAGAGUACAUAGCCUCCACCUCCAUCUGAAACUUCCUUAACAUUUCAUUUGUGUACAGUUUUGAGAGUUGAAAUUCAUAGUAACAUCUUGGUUUCCGGAUACAACUUGAAUUUCUUGAAUCCAUAUCUGCCAAGGCUACCAGUUGAUAAUUCGCCUGCAGUGCUUGAUCAUACUUGUCUAAGAAUUCUUUCAAAGGAGUAUUCUUAUCAAGAUAUCCUUCAAAGUAUGAAGUAGAAACCUCAUUCUGCAGGAACGAAAACACUCCUGAUAAAAAAGCUUCCUUCAAAUAAAUAGGAGCCCACCUUUUAUGAUCUUCAUAUAAAGUUUGAAUCCAUCCGUGAUCCUUUAUUCCAUGACAUUGAAUCAUGUCUUCCCAAGCUGCUUCAAAUUUCUCAGGCCUGAGAGAGUGAUAAAUUGCUCUAUGUAAUGCAGCUUUAAUAGCUUCAUAUUCAAACAAUCCUUGGAGUUUCUCUGGAAUUUUUUUGCAUGAUGCAUGACAAUGAAAAGAAAUGAUAAGCUCUUGGGAAAACAUCACCAACAGCAAUUUGCAAGAUUCUACAUUGGUCAGUGAUGAUUGUUUGUGGAGAGCGCCCUAACAUACAUGUAAGCCACGCCGUAAACAACCAUGUAUAUGAUUCUAUGGUCUCACUGGCAAGUAAACCACAACCCAACAACACUGAUUGUCCAUGAUGAUUCACCCCAAUGAAUGAAACCAGUGGUACAUCAUAUCUUUCAGUCAGGCACGUAGUAUCAAUUAAGACCACAUCACCAAAGUACCUAUAUGCAACUCUUGACCUGGUAUCAGUCCAGAAUAGGUUUUUCAAGCAUCCCUUUUCAUUUAGAUCCACUACAUUAAAAAAGUUUGGAUCUGUCAACUGCAAAUGACAAAAGAAACUCUGGACAGCUUGUGCAUCUCCUGGUUUAAGCUUCAAUUGAUUUGAGCUAUUAACAUUAUUUCCAAAUACUCCAUUAACAUCUACCAUUUCCCUUGGUAUCAAUGAUAAGAGUUCGAAACAGUUUAAUUUUUUGAACUUCUUCAGCACUAUCUAAAUGCAAUGUUCUUUUGGUUCCAAUACCUAUGUGCUUAUGUGACUUGUAAAACUUUCCGCUUCUUGGGCUUAACAAGUGGUUAUGCUCAAGCUCGACUUCAAUGAUUCUCCACCUUUUGGUUUCCAUCAACCUAAACUUUAUCAUUGCUGGACAGCCAGUUCUUGUUUCUGGUCUUGGGCGGUUUGCCUCGCUUUUCUUCUUGAAGCCUGCACUACUACAGCUCAGCUUUCCUCUAUACUUUUCUCUACUCUUUCGGUACCAUGGAUUGCUAACUCUAACACCAAAACCCUGUUCCUUGGCAUAGCAAUUGUAAAAGUAAUAUACAUCAUCAUACAUCUCAAACUCCAUUCCAACAGUAGGAGGCAAGGGAUUUUGGAUUAUCCCAGUUUGUCCAACAUAUUCAGUCAUCGCACAAUCUCCUACAACCUCAAAAUCAUCAGUGUCAUCAUCACCUACUGGUUCGGUGUUGAGAGAAACUUCAUCCAUCUACAAUGGAUGUUCAAUGAAGUGAGCUUUAAGGAGAAAAAGCAAAAUCUGUUCAAGGAAUGAUAAUAUAAUCAUACAGUUACUUUCACAAAGCUUCAUAUUUCAUCACUGCUUUACCAACAUGCAACUGCCAGAGAACAAACAGACAUGUCAUAGACGCUUGAAUUAAGUAUUGGUACAAAUGAGCACACAUCAUGUGGGACAAAAUUUCAGUCACUAAACCCAAUACCACUUUUUACAUCAUACCAAGGAACAGAUUAAACCCGACACCUUCUUUUAAACCAUACCAAGGAACAGAUUAAAUCAUCAAUGAAAAAUUAAUCACAUAAUAACUUAACCAGACAAAUGAAGAGCCUGAAACAGCACAAAACUUGAAUCUGAUUAUGAUAAUUGUUGAGUCCUUGUAUCUACAGCUUUCCUUCAAUGAUAAGACAAUGAACAUAAACGAGACACAAAAAAAUUAUUUUAAACUGACAGCCCAUGAUAUAAAUCAAACAAAAUCAACUCCUUUUUUUACACAUUACAUCUCAUAUUCAUUUACAUUGAAACACAAAAAGGAAGCAGGAGUGGGAAAAAAACAACAGCAGAGGAACUUAUUUCCAUAAGGUUUACGAAAUAAGGAAUCUAUUAAAACCCAAAACUUGAGGUCACCACUAAGAAUUUGGUUCUCAUUAUUUUUUUCUUCAUUUUUCACCAAUUGAUGAACUUAAAAUACAAUCAUAAAUGAUAAAACCCCAUCUCCAUCUUUUUGAACUAGAGCUAAAGCAAAGCAUUUUAAGAUGUUUCAUCAUUUUUUUUUUUAAAAAAAACUCAAUAGUACAAUGUUUUUCAAUGCUAAAUGCACAAUUCAAUCUUCUCCUAAUUUACUCUAAUAAUCUCUUAAUUAAGGAAGAUUAAGCUUCAGUUGUAAGCUAAAACAAAUUUCUUAAAUCAAGCCCCAAUGCUUUAUGCUAUUCAACAAGGGCUCAUAAAUGAUAAAACUACUUCUAUAAAGAUACCCAUUUUCUAAAUUAAUUUCACAAACUGAAAUCAAACUCCUGAAACGUAACGAGCAUUAAUAUAAUCAAGCCCGAACAAGAAUUGAAAAAUGAUACAUAAACUCGUUUACACAUUUCGACAGACACUUUGCAAUCAAUGAGCAAAAAAUUAAUGGAGAAGAUAAAAUUCAAACGAAACAUGCCUUACAUUGAUAAAUUAGAAGGGCAAAAGAAAUUUUAGUACGAUAUGCGAUCAGGGUCUUGCCACGGUGAUGUUAUUUGUGAAGUUCGAGCGACUCAGCAGCCUUCGAGGUUGAAAAUUUGAUUGACCAAAAGCUUCCCGUUCGUUGAUUCUCUAAUAGUAGAAACGAGACUGGCAGUAUACACAAGAAGUUCGCCGAUUUUAAAUUCCGUUGUUUGAGAUGGAAAAUUUUUUGAAAAAAUUAAUGUGUUCGAUGAAAAUCAAAAUCUCAAAAACCUCUUGUUUUUCAUUUUUUUGGAAAAAACCAUUGAGAUCCUUACUAUUUUUUCUUAUAUCAUCUUCCUUAAUAAUUUGCAAAGUCUAUCGCAUAGCACCCAUGUAUGAUGUAUGCUGCGUUGUAAUUUACAAAAUUGCACAUGAAUAAAUCCAGCUAAAAUUUGUUAAAAGAAAAUAAUAAUAACAUGUUAAAACUUUAAAAUUUGAUUAUUCGAAGAAAUUUUAAUUUAGUUAAGUAGGUGACAUGAUAAUAAAUAGAUACGUAUAAUGUCCGAGAUUUUUUAUAAGAUUAAUAAAUAUGAUAAAUUUGGAUUAGUUCAAUUUUGACAUAAUUCAUAAUAAACACAGCUUGCUAAUCUAAAUUGCCACCGUUACUCAUCAUCAGGUACCUGUUUGAAAAAUAAUUACAAACAAUUUUAUUUGUGUUGUUUCUCUAAAAGUUUGAGACACAAAUGUUAUUUCAAAUUGAUAAAAGUACGAAAAUUCCCCCUUGCUCUUCAACUAAAAAUGAAACAUGCAAAUAUACACACUAAUUUAGAUGUGUGAAUAACAAAUAUGGAACGACACAUGCAAAGUCAUCUGUAUAAUUGAAACGCCAUGCACUAGUAGUAGGUAAGAGAAACCAAGGUUGAAGUUGCUCCAAUGGUUACUGUUAAUUUAUUUUUAUUUAUGAUUUUUUUUGUAAAAUGUAAGAAAUAUGUAGAAAUGUUGCCAGCAAUGAUUUUGGAACUUUGCAUAAAAUUUUUAUCAUUAUUGUUUUUGGUAUUAAGAAAUCCGAGGCGGUGAUUAGACGUAUGUUGCAACAAUUAAGAAAUUUCUUAUUGGAGAUAAUUUGGUAGGUUUGCAGCAAUUAGAGAAUAAUUUUCCUGCCAGUUAAUCAAUCAAUAAUAAAUUUCAAAUUGCAGAAAAUAAAAUAAUACAGCCUCACUUAGAAUCAUCUUUUCUAUCUCUUUCAAUUGUGGCAAUCAUUUGCAACAAAUAAAUCAAUUUGAUGCACAUCAUUUCCCCAAUUCAAAGUUCAAGUCACUGCUCAAUUACAGAGUAGUUAGUGGACAUGCAUGCAUGUUUAAUUAAGUACUGCAUUGUAGUAUCGAAAAUCAUAACAUCUCACCAAUAUCAGAUUAUUAACCAUGGAAAUCAUAUCACAAUAUCAUAUAGAAUUCACAAAUCUGAAAAUCAUCACCAAACAAGUACCCAGAGAAAUAAUCUCGUCAUAUCCAGACCUCAACGGACGGGCAAUGACGUACUAUUUGGGUAACGUCACACCCUGGAGCUACACGGAUAAAUAGGAAAAUACCAUCUCAUAUCUCAUCAUAUUUGUGCAUGCAUAAUCUAGUCCCCAAGGGACAAAAGCGCCCAAGCACACGGCCCAAAGCCUCUAUGUGUACUCAGACGGGCCCCAAAGGCCUGUAUCUCAUAUGUAUCAUAUGUAUCAUUUGUAUCUCAAUAUCUGUUUGUAUCUCAUUUCCGUAUAUCUAUAAUCAUCAUACCGCAUGCAUAUGCCCCCAAAAGACAAAAGCGCCCAAACACAUGGCCCAAAGCCUUUAUAUGUGUUUAGACGGGUCCCAAAAGCCUCUUAUCUCAUCUUAUCUGUAUCACUGUAUCUGGAGAGAAGGGUACUGUCUAAUGAUUUAAAAAACAAUCAUUAUACUCAUAUUUACAUACCUCUUAAUCAUAUUUGAAAUCAUAUCACAUUUGAAUCCACUUUUCUAAUCUUUAAAAUAUUAUCAUGCUUUAUUCAAAGUCGAUACGCAAAAUCAAUAACCAAACAUUUUAAAUCAAAUUAUUAACCAUGGAAAUCAUAUCACAAUAUCAUAUAGAAUUCACAAAUCUGAAAAUCAUCACCAAAUAAGUACCCAAAGAAAUAAUCUCGUCAUAUCCGGACCUCAACGGACGGGCAAUGACGUACUAUCUGGGUAACGUCACACCUUGGAGCUACACGGAUAAAUAGAGAAAUACCAUCUCAUAUCUCAUCAUAUCUGUGCAUGCAUAAUCUAGUCCCCAAGGGACAAAAGCGCCCAAGCACACAGCCCAAAGCCUCUAUGUGUACUCAGACGGGCUCCAAAGGCCUGUAUCUCAUAUGUAUCAUAUGUAUCAUUUGUAUCUCAAUAUCUGUCUGUAUCUCAUAUCCGUAUAUCUAUAAUCAUCAUACCGCAUGCAUAUGCCCCCAAAAGACAAAAGCGCCCAAACACAUGGCCCAAAGCCUUUAUAUGUGUUCAGACGGACCCCAAAAGCCUCUCAUCUCAUCUUAUCUGUAUCACUGUAUCUGGAGGGAAGGGUACUGUCUAAUGAUUUAAAAAAUAAUCAUUAUACUCAUAUUUACAUACCUCUUAUCAUAUUUGAAAUCAUAUCACAUUUGAAUCCACUUUUCUAAUCUUUAAAAUAUUAUCAUGCUUUAUUCAAAGUCGAUACGCAAAAUCAAUAACCAAACAUUUUAAUAAAAUACCAAUGCAUAAAUAAAAUUCAUUUCGAGAAAUCAUUAAAUCAGAACAUUUAAAAUACUUAUUUCGCAAACAUGCUUUACUAUCAUCGCUAACUAUGAAAAUAAGUUUUGUAUAUUCCACUUUCAGUGAUGGUGUUCACGGUCGGUUAUCGUCCAUAUCUGCAGACCGAUUCUCGCUCGCGAAUCCUCCUAAAUCAAGGAAACGACAUAAUUAUUUUUUGUAAAUCGGAAUUAUGACUAAAUUUUAUGCAAUAAACUCAAAACGAACAUCUAUUCAUAAUUGACAACUCCUAUAUCCAUAAAAUUACUAAAAUAUCCUUGAGUCCGUAGAUCAUUAACAUGCUCCGAAAUCGUAAAUCACUGAAUUACCCUCGGAAUCGUAAUUACACCCGAUCCUCAAUUAUAGGAAUUACUAACAGAUCCACAGGCUUAGAAAUUACAAAAUUGCCCUCGUAGUGUGAAAUUACCAAAAGCCGGAAGUUGGUCAACAAUGGCUAGGAAGCUCAAAUCGUAAAGUUCCAAUCACGCUGAGUUCAAUGGUACCGGCGGUGAGCUCCAACGCGCGACAACGAUGCCAGAAUCUAGCUCGGCAGCCGUGAAUUCCACCAAUCGACCGGCGGCACAACAGUGACUCUCGGUGCCUAUGGAUGGUCGAAAAUGGAAGAGGGAGCCGUGGGGAACAAAAUCCAACCGGUGGUGUCACCAAAACCGGUGAAAAUCCCGGCGGAGCAAAGUGAAACAGUCGCGGGUUUCAUGCUUCGAUCGCCGGUGUUCCGAUUGGUUUUUGGCGAGGAGGAUGGCAAGGGAACGACAGCCGGCUUCUAAGCUUCAGAUUGGUACCAAGCUCGGCCGAAACGAUGGCCGGAAAUGGGAGAUAUGACCGGGUCAAGGUCGCGGGUUCCGGGUCGGGUUUUUUGGUCUGUAGUUGGGUCGGUUUGGUAGCUUCUCUCUCACUCUCUGUUACACGUGCAUAUGUUUCCUCUGUUUCCAGCUUAUUCUUUUGCUUUUACUAACUUCUUAACCGCCUCAUACUUAUUCAUUUUUAAUUCACAUAUGUUACAAUAAUUCCCGAGUAUUAAAUAACCAGUGGUCAUAAUUUUUGUACAAGAUUCUUUUUUUUUUUUGGAGAUCGUUAAAAGUGGUUGACGAUCCAUUUCGUAAUAUCAUAGAGGGAUCAUCAAUUCCUUUUCUUUUCUGUGGCUAGGCAACACUUUUUGGCCAAAGUAAGGAAAUCUAUUUUAGGUAAUGUAAAAACCAGUUGUAGGAUGUAAUAGUUUAUUAUGCACUGACAAUAACUUUUUGUAUAAUUGUCAGUUUAAUGAAUGCAAGAGGAACUCUGUUGGCAAAUUCAUCCAAGAUAGAUGCUAAAAUUAUUUAUGCAUGCCAGUUGCCUUAACUAAGUUUUCUCAGCACUGGUUUUGAACAGGAAAAUGAAUAUGCAAUUUGUAUAUUGUGCCAUAGUGGAGAAUUUGGAUAUUCUUAUUUAAGUAACAAGGAGAUUAUUUGCCUCAUCUUUAAACAAUGAAUCUUUGAGAGAUGAGGAGUGGGUGAUUGGAUGUGUCUUCAUGUAAUUGUUCAUUUAUUUGUAUUUUGAACUGUUAUGAAAAUCUUUAUAUGCCAAAUUAGUAAUACAAGUAUUCAGAUGAUUUUUCCUAUUGAUCAUGCAUUUGUAUCUGCCCACAACCAUUGUAUAUCACUUUAUUCUGAUGCGCAAGCAUCUGUAAUUUAGAAGAAAAGAAAUAAUAAUCAUAUUUUAUUGCUUGGUUCAUGAUUAUUAACGAUUAUGGCUUUAAAAAUCUACAAAUUUCUUGUGUUCAUGUAUGAAUGUGCCAAGUUUGCUGUAUCUUAGAUUACCUUCUUCCAAGGUAACAAGUUCAUAUAUAUAUAUUUUUUAAAUCAUUUUCCAUUACAGUUGAAUUUCAAGUGUUAGUUUUGUUAUUAGUACCUGGUUUCCUGUUAUAAGGAUCUAAUAAACAGUGUACGGAUAUGUGCUCUACUUUUGGAGGGCUUCCACGUGAAAGAAAAUUACAACAAUUGAAUUCUUCCGGAGGAUAUGGUAAUUAAUUUAUUUUCUCAACUUCUUGUAAGACUAAUAUAUUUCCUUCAGUAGGCACAGCAUGGUGGGAAGGGUUUUUAUUGAAAGAAUUCUGAUAUUUCUUAGACUUUGUUUUGGAAGGGGGUGGAGGAAUUUCUCAUCCAUAUAUGGUUACUUGAUUAGCUUUUGACUGUAUUGUCUCUGUCGUGCAAAGGAAAAUCUAAAUACUAACGAUGGGGAAUUGCUUAGGCACCCAAAAGGCAGAAAUGAAUUACAGAAGGAAGUUUUUGCUGCUUUAUUUAGUGCUGCUGAGAAAUCUGAUGAAUUUCCUGAAAUUACGGUGAAGACCGAGUGGAGGUCCAAAGCAUUAGGAAAGGUGGUGAGUGAACUGCCGGAGGAAUUUGUACCAAAAUACAAGGCUAAUGUGGUGCACUUGCAGCAAGAUAACCAGACCGGUAUGUGCUCUUAUAUUAACUAUAUUGACUGGAUUUGUGAGUGUGUGCAUUUUUUUGUGUAUACUCACUUUUGUAUUUAUGCAUAUUAACAUGUGUAGGAUUCUUGAUUUCUGCCACUUACUGGAGAACUAGUGGAAAGCUUUAUAUUGAUAUAUCUGCAAUAACUAAUGGAAACUAUGAUAUGAAUAUUUUCUCUCACCUGGGGAGCUGUGUAACAGAUAUACUUUGUGGCUCUGGAAUGCUGAAGAUUCUGCAAUAACUAAUGGAAAAUAUGAUAUGAAUAUUUUGUCUCACCUGGAGAACUUUGUUACAGAUACCCUUUGUGGCUCUGGAAUGUCUAAAGAAUGCUUUAGUUAGAUCAAAUAUCUUUUAGUUAGAAAAGAUAAAAUUCUCUGAGUCUGAAAGACUGAAACAUUUUGCAUAUUUUGUGAAAGGGAAAUAUCUGUUGAUACUAGCUCAUGCAUUGAGGUAAUAUCGAUGUUAAAGAAAAACAGCAAUGAUUUAUGAUAUAGAAUUGGGUUCACUUGCUUCAAAUGCUGGUCUGAUCAACCAUAUCAACCUGUAAUGAUUCUGCAGAAAUAUAUAUACAUGGAGAAAGUAGCUAAAUUUUUCUUUCAUUUAUGGGUUCGGUCUUUUUUCCCCUUAUUUUUCAGCUUUCCUUCUCCUGAAGUAUGUUAACAAUUGCAGAUAAUGAUGAAGACGACAGCUUCCGGGCUCUCCUUAGAGCCGUGAUGGAAUAUAGGGGCACAAUGAAGGAAUAUUGUAAAGCUGUAGGUACUUUUUCUCCUUUCAUUUAUGUUUUCUCACACAUUUUGUAUAUGCCCUGAACAUGCACCUUUGUAUGUAUCAAUUGACUUUUAAAUUUUAAAAGCCAUAAAGUAAGAAUACGGUUCCUUGUCAGGCUACUGAUGACAUUCGCUCAGGGGGAUCAUGUUCGAGCAGGAAAAUUUCUAGAACAGGUAAGGUUUCCAUCUACAGCCAUCCAUUGACAGCAGAUACAUUUUCAUUCAGCAGACUCUGUUAGCAUUCAAGAUGCUGGCAGAUUCACUUGAUUCUUAUUAGCUUGUUUAGUGGCAAAGCCUAUAACCUGUAUUUCAAAGCCAAGUUGUGCUAUUGAUUAUGUUAACUUUUUUGUUAACAUAAAAUGAUAUGGAGGAAAUAAUCAGUGUUGGAAAAUUAGGUGAAAAGAUGAUGUCAAAUCUUGAACCUCUUACGAAACUCUAAGUUCUUUACUUGAAGAGGCUACGAAAUUUGAACAGCGUCUACUCGAAGGCCUUGCCAUUCCCUGAUGCAUGCAGAAUUUUUGUAUUUAAAUGCCCAGAGCUUAAGAAGCUGCCACUGGAUCUUGAAGGGGCAGACCAAGGUAAAAAUCUUAUCAAGGGAAAGGAAGAUUGGUGGAAACAACUUAAUGGGAGGAUCAAGUAACUCAGAAUGCAUUGCUUCCAUUUUUUAAAUUGACUGACAAGUGAUUGAACGGGGCAUCAUCAACAUCAUCAACAGGGAUGGAGAGAUACCGGAGCAGAUCAGCAGGGUUUGAAUAUGACCUUUGGCGGUUGCUUUUUUUUUGUGAUUUUUUUUUCAUUUUUUCCUUCCUGUCAUUUUAUCAUUUCUUUCUCUGUUUCUAUUGCGGGUGUUACUGCAUGCUUACUGUUGCUUGACAAAGUUUGCUAGCUUUUUGUUUGCAGUGUUGCUAUACACUCCGAGUCAAGCCUCGAAAAUUUAUUAAACGAAGCCGUUUCGACAGUAACAAUUCUUUUCUUUUCCCUUUGCAUGUCUCUUUCAUCUGCUGUUUCUCUAUCACUUUUCAUUUUUGAUUUCCUUGCUUCUCAGCUGCCCCUAAAUUGUUAUUCUAGCAAUAUACUUUCUCAUCUUUGAAUUUUCAUCCUUGAGUACUCCCACAGCCGUAAUUUCAUCAUCAUAGACUUCACUUGGAAUGCUGUAUUUUUUCGAUUCUUGAGCUACUUCAAUUACAUCUUAGUAUAGGAUCCUCAUCUUCCUUUAUUUCUUCAUCUUAUGAGGUAAUAAAUGGAUUUCACAACUCAUCUACUUUUAAGCAAUUACAUAUUAUACCUUGAAUGAUUCAACUGUUCUGACAGUUAAAGAUUUUAUGCUCAACCUGCAGUGCUACGAACAUUGUCCAUGAAAGAUGAGUUUCAGCAUAUAAAAUGAAAUAUAGAUGUUUAAUCUAAAAUAACCCUUCACUGCCAGAAACCUAGGUCACAAAAUUCACAGAUAAUGAUAAAGAGCUAAAAAAUUUGAAAAACUCUACAGAUCACACAUCAAGCAAGAUAUCAUGUUUUUUUCCCUCAUUCAGUGGUGAUUGAUUCGCUUUUUGAUGAUGGAUAUGGUAUAAAAGUGUUGACCCAAUUUCAAGCAAACACAAAUAGAAACACAAACACAAUCGGGACUAGAGUUGUGGGCGAUUAUCUUAGGUGUACAAGUGAAACGGUGGUGGCUGUCGAUGGUGGUAGUGGGGUGGUUGGGUAUGCGUGAUGGCUAGAUUUUAGGACAAUAAUGAUUGGAGUUGACCUCAAUCAACGAAGGAAAGUGACAACAAUUUUGACAUCAAACGGUGCAUUUUUUAGCUUAGUAAAAUGGAGCCGUUUCGAUUUUGGGGUUUAAUCCGGGGUUUGACUCGGUGCAAGUAUCAUUUUCCUUUUGUUUAUUAAAUUUUUUUAUGGUCACAAAGUAUCACUCGUUCUAUUUGAGAGUCAUGUGAAUCAAUUUUUCAAAUUUUCAAUUUUAAAUUUUGUGGUCAAUGUGAAUUCAAUUUCAUUUGUCUCCUGCAAUUAUGAAAAAAUUAAAUAGUCAUAAUAUGGAAAAAUACACCGGUAAAAACUUUGUAAAAGCUUCGGAGUGAUACGGGGAAUUCACUUACUACUAAGGACAAUUGGUGGCAAGCUAUUCCAUUCAUUUUAUGUCCAUCCAUCUAUUUAGUUAUUGAAGAUAAGUGGUCCAUUUGUAAAUUUCAGAUUGUCUCUCUCUCCCUCUUGAAAUAACAAUAUUUAAUAUAUCUCAUAAAUUAUUAUAAAUUUUAAUUUACUCUCGAUUUAAAAUGGAGCAUGUCGAUAAAUUUUUUUUCUUCUUAAUAAAAUUGACGUAAGUUGUGUUUACAGUAGUUUGAAGUUUGAAAUAUUUUAAAGAUUAUUAUUCUAUAAGGGAGUAAUAUGAAAUGAUAUUUACUUUUCAUGUGUGAAAUGAAAAAGGACGAAGCAAGUGUCCCUGCUUUUAUUUUAUUUCAAGGAGGAGUCAUCUCACAUACUUUAGCUCUUAACAUUACAUUUUUUCUGGUUACAUUUUUUAUUUAUUUAUUUUUUUUUUUUUACACAUGCGUGUGGGUUGCUUUUCUGUAAGCUCCUUAAUAUAUAUUUAAGACAAAUCAUGGAAGAGAUGGGAUUAUAUCAAGAUGAUCAAAGAAUGUUAAAAAAGAAAAAAGAAAAAAAAAAGAAGUAAGACACUGAAAAUGGAGAAGAGAUGGAAGCAAAAGAUAUUCCAAAACAAAGCAAUCUAUCCCCUUUCGAGGGCAGACUUAUCAGGUUUAAAAAAGUACACGCUUUGGAUUGGUAGUUGCAAUCAAGGGAAAAUAAAUAGGAUCCAAUGAAAUUUAAAUCUCGGAGAAAAUAAAUAAUCAUGCAGAUUUUCAAGAUUUUAAUAAGGGAUACUAAUAUCUUAUUUUGAUUAAUAAUAUCCUUUCAUUGUGUUAACUCAAAAAAUAUAUAUUUUAAUGUUUUGCAAUAAACAGAAACGUACUAUUAAAAUGAAUAUAUAAAGAAUUUAGAAAAUUUUGAAUGUUAUAUAAAAUAAUUUUAAGAUAAUGCGUGAGAUAUAUUUUAUUAAUUUAAAAUGUUAUUUUACCUAAAAAAUAUGAUAAAUUAAUAAUUACAUAUUUGAAGUUAUUUUAAAUAUUAAAAAAAUUUAAUAUUAUUAAUCUUUUAGAUAGAUUAAAUUAUUUUUUAUAAGAGAUAGAUUAAAUUAUUUUAAAAUACGUUAAUUGUUUUUACUUUUAACGUUACCGGCCUUUCUUUUAUUUUAUUGCAAAUUAAUGCUAACAAGAAAAAGCUAGAUCAUAUUCCACAAAAGCAAAAGUGACAAACACAACCAGCUGGAAUCUUUUAAUUACUAUUCAAUAAUUCGAGACGAUUAGGGUCUUUUAUUAAACUACAAAUUGUAUAGUCUUUUUAAAAUUGUUAUAAAUUGGUGGCACCUACAAUCCUCAAUAAUUGUACCGAUAUUCACAAGUUGGUGGCCCCUACAAUUCUGUUCGGAUAAUUUAACUGUGCAAGUGCUCAUUCACAAUAAUUGUUUUGUUUUUUUUUUCUGCAUUCCCUUUCAUGCUCUUAAUAAUUGAAGAGCAUACUUUUCAUUUUCAAAUGUGGAGCCGCAGCUAAUGUCGCUAAUUUAAUUUGGGAUUAAAUUAGGGGACCAUUAUAUUGCAGUGUGCACUAAUUUUUGUGUUUAUCUAAACUCCUUAAAUUUAAGACAUAUUAUGGCAUAAAUAAGAAUAUAACAAUAGCAAAAGAGUUAAAAAGUGUAGAGAAGAUCUUGCAGAAAUAUAAAUAAUAUCUAUUUUAAAAUAAUAUCAAUAUUUAAAAUAAUUUUUAAUAUUUUAUGAUUCAUUAGAUAUAUUUUAUUAUAUUAAAGUAAAUUUUAUAAUAAAUAAAAACAUACUAUUAAAAUGAAUAUAUAGAAAAUUUAGAGUAUUUUAAGUAUUAUAUAAAAUAAUUUUAAUAAAAUAUGUGAGAUAUUCAUAUUUUAUUAAUUUAAAAUACCAUUUAACCUAAAGAUUUAUUUAUGAUAAAUUAAUAAUUAUAUUUUUGAAGUUACUUCAAAUAUUAAAAAUAUUAAUAUUACUAAUCUAUUAGAUAGAUUAAAUUAUAUAUAUUAUUUUCUAUUUAUUAAAAAAUUUAAAAUUAUUUUUAAUUACUAUUCAAAAAAUAUAAUGAUAAAAAAGAAUCUUAACAUCUUUAUUAAAAAUUUAAAAAUUUACAUGAUCAAUUCUCUAAAUAUUUAGGGUUAUAUGUGAACAACGGUGGAGAAGCUUUAUUUAAUAUUAUUGAUUUAAAUAAUAUGUCAAUUAAAAAUGUACAGAGAAGGAAAUUUCGGUGGGUAUUUUAGUCUUUUCAGCAAUUAUCAUGAUCAGAUCAGCCUUUAGCCUUGAAUCGUCGGUCAGAAAAGUUUUAAAAUUAACGCUAACAAGAAAAAGCUAGGUCAUAUUCCACAAAAGCAAAACUGACAAAACAACCAGCUGGUUUCUUUUACUAAACUACAAAUUAAAAGUGGAUUCUUUUGAAUGCAAGUGGGACAGACGAUUAGGCUCUUUUUAUUAAAGGCAAGUAAAAACUAGUCGAAUAGUCUUUUUCAAAUUGUUGUUUUAUUAUUUUUCCUUCAAAAGUUAGUGUGGCUCAUGUUUGCAGGUGCGAAUGUGGGUCCCGAAUCAUUACUAAAAUUUCUAUUCCACAGCCCACCGCAGCUUCAGUUAAUCAAACUCAAAUCAAUUUUCUUUCUUAACAAAAUAUUCCAAAGAUGUGUAGCAUUUUUCAGAUCACAUGCGAUGGUGCUCUUUUCAAUCGUUGCUUGGAUUGCUUUCUUGGAAAAGCAGCAUACAUACGUAACCUCCAAGAUAAUGUUGAUACCUUGGGCACUGAAUUGGGAAAUCUGAUCGCUAGAAAGAACGAUCUGAUGAGGAGGGUUGUCGAUGCUGAACGGCAACAAAUGAGAAGGCUGGACGGAGUGCAAGUGUGGGUUUCGAGGGUGGAUUCUGUUAAAACUGAAGCUGAUCAAUUUAUAAGAGACGGCUCUCGAGAAAUUGAAAAAUUAUGUGUUGGAGGCUACUGUUCCAAGAAUUGCAUGUCAAGCUACAAGUUCGGGAAAAAAGUGGCUAAAAAGCUACGGGAUGUGCGGACUUUAAUCAGUGAAGGAGUUUUUGAGGUGGUGGCUGACAGAGCUCCAGAGUCUGUAGCAGAUGAAAGACCUACUGAGCGAACAGUAGUAGGCUUGCAAUCACAACUUGAACAAGUCUGGAGAUGUCUUGUAGAAGAAUCAGCGGGAAUCAUUGGCCUAUAUGGUAUGGGCGGUGUUGGUAAAACUACACUACUGACCCAUAUCAACAAUAAAUUUCUCGAGAGUCCAACCAACUUUGAUUGUGCGAUUUGGGUUGUAGUUUCAAAAGACCUGCGACUCGAAAAAAUUCAAGAAGAUAUUGGGAAAAAGAUAGGUUUGGUUGGUGAUUCAUGGAAGAGUAAAAGUGUAGAGGAGAAAGCUGUCGACAUCUUCCGGAGUUUAAGAGAGAAGAGAUUUGUAUUGUUGUUAGAUGAUAUAUGGGAGCGGGUUGAUUUAACAAAGGUGGGCAUUCCACUUCCCGGACCAAAAAAUACUACCUCAAAAGUCGUAUUCACAACCCGUUUCAUCGAUGUUUGUGGUAGCAUGGAAGUUGACAGGAAGUUUCAAGUAGCAUGCUUAUCAGAAAAGGAUGCUUGGGAACUGUUUCGAGAAAAAGUUGGGGAGGAAACUCUUCAGAGUCAUCAUGAUAUCGAUGAGCUAGCCCAAAUUGUGGUCAAAGAGUGUGGUGGUUUGCCACUCGCACUUAUUACUAUUGGUCGAGCUAUGGCCUACAGAAAGAAAGCGGAGCAGUGGAGACGUGCAAUUGAAGAGUUAAGGAGAUCAGCUUCAGAGUUUGCAGGUUUGGGAAAAGAGGUUUAUCCUCUUUUAAAAUUCAGCUAUGAUAGUUUGCAGAAUGAUACGGUUAGAUCUUGUUUCUUGUACUGUUGUUUAUAUCCUGAAGAUUAUGGCAUUCUUAAAUGGGACUUGAUUGAUUGUUGGUUUGGCGAGGGAUUUUUUGGGGAAUCUGACAGGUCUGGUGCAGAAAACCAAGGAUAUGACAUUUUGGACACUCUUGUUCGUGCGUGUUUAUUAGAAGAGGUGGAAGAUGAUGAAGUAAAAAUGCAUGACGUUAUUCGUGAUAUGGCUAUAUGGAUAACUUGUGAAAUUGAGAAGGAGAAGAGAAACUUUUUGGUUCGUGCAGGUGCUGGAUUAAAAGAUGCACCGGGUGUUAAAGGAUGGGAAAAUGUGAGAAGAUUGUCAUUGAUGCAAAACCAAAUUGAAACUCUGGCAGAGGUUCCCACAUGCCCUCAUCUCCAUACUCUAUUUCUUGACUUUAAUAGGGGGUUGGAUAUGAUCGCGGAUGGCUUCUUUCAAUUUAUGCCUUCUCUCAAAGUUUUGAAGAUGUCAAACUGUUCGAAUUUGAAAUUACCUGUUGGGAUGUCAGAGUUGGGUUCAUCACUAGAACUUCUUGAUAUUUCAGAAAACAGCACAAGAGAGUUACCGGAAGAGUUAAAGAAGUUGGUAAAUCUGAAAUGUUUGAAUUUGAGGUGGACAGAGCAUUUAAAUAAAAUUCCACGGCAACUAAUAUCAAAUUCUUCAAGGUUACGUGUGUUGAGAAUGUUCGCUACUGGCCGGUUCAAUUUUCAUGAAGCACCAGAAGACAGCGUUUUAUUUGGUGGGGGUGAAGUUUUGAUACAGGAAUUGCUCGGUUUGAAAUAUUUAGAGGUAUUGGAGUUGACCUUGGGAAGUUAUCAUGCUCUCCAAAUUCUUUUGAGCUCAAAUAAGUUAAAAAGUUGUAUUCGAUCUCUUUACCUCGAGUUGACCGGAGAUACAACGUCAAUUAUUGAUGCUACGGCUUUCGCAGAUCUAAACCACCUCAAUGAAUUACGGAUUGAUAAUGGUAUUGAGUUGGAAGAGUUGAAGAUUGAUUAUACGGAGAUAGUACGAAAAAGGCGGGAACCUUUUGUUUUCCGCAGCCUUCAACGUGUUACCAUAGCGGAGUGCCAUAAAUUGAAAGAUGUGACAUUCCUCGUUUUUGCUCCAAACCUCAAGUCUCUUCGGCUAUUCUAUUGCGGUGCUAUGGAAGAAAUAAUCAGCGUCGGAAAAUUUGCUGAGACUCCUGAGAUGAUGGGACAUAUAAGCCCUUUUGAAAAUCUCCAAAUGCUUGAUUUACAAGGUUUGCCACAUUUGAAGAGCAUCUUCUGGAAGCCAUUGCCUUUCACUCAUCUGAAAGAAAUGGAGGUACUUAGGUGCGAUCGGCUUGAAAAGCUUCCACUCGAUUCCAACAGUGCAAAGGAGCGCAAAUUUGUUAUUCGUGGAGAAGAAGACUGGUGGAACCGACUUCAAUGGGAGGAUGAAGCCACUCAAAUUGCUUUUCGUUCCUGUUUUAAAAGUGAUGCUUUAUUUAUAUCUUAUUCGUGAAAAGUGAUUUAAUUUCCUGCCAAAAGACGAACGAGAAGAACAAUAGAGUCAAACUAAUGCUCACAUAAAUUUCCCGUAAGAAUAUAUAAUUAGAUUGGAAUGCACACCUCUAGAUUGAACAGAAUUAAAGCUGAGAAAAUAUUGAGUAUAGUAGCCCUCUUUACAGAAAAUGACGUGAAAGUUAAUUUAGAAAGAUAUAUUCUUGAUUAAUCCAUUUUCUGAAGUUUUUAUUUUGUAUGGUCAAUUAUACCUUCAUACUAAAAAUUUCUGAAGUUAUAAAUUAGUGCAACUUGACAAUUUUUACUGAUGAUAUCUUCUAUUUUUCCCUUUUUUUUUUUUUCACUUUCAUAGACUGGCAGCGGAUCCUGCGGCACCAAUUUGAGAGAAUAUACUGACACUACUUCGAACAGCAAGCAGAAGAAGUAAUAUGUCUACGGCAAAGGCAAUGGAGUCCUCAUUUUGGCUCGAGAUGCAGUAAUCAUCGAAGAGAGUUUCCUUGUGAAACUGGGCAACACAUUGAAUCCCUUCACCACUGAGAAGGUUGUGGAGGAAGUAAGCUUUCUCUCCAGUGAGGAAGAGGUGGCAUAUACCUUCCCCAUUUUGUUGAGGGCAGGUAGGAAUCUUUUUUCUAAGAGAUUUACUUCGUUCUCUGUAAGAAAUGCUUUGAACUUCAUCCCUCUGUCUCUAUCCUCACUUAUCAGGAAAUAAGUUGAAAGCACUAUGAAGAGAGAGAGAGAGAGAGAGAGAGAGAGAGAGAGAGAGAAUUAAGAUAUAUAGACAAGAAAAAUAUUUGACGUUGAUCUUACAAACUAAUACUUCAAGCAGUAUCCUAGAAAGCUAAAAACUGCAAGAUGGCUUGAAAUUUGAAAAGAGCACAUGCUUUUCCUCCUUAACUUGAGAAAAUGUUUAAUAUAGUGCACCUUACAGAAGCAUUUAAGCAAUUAGAACUUUGCACAAAAACAUCAAGAAGACUAAACAAGUCAGAUGCAGUGUAUUUGUCCAAGCACAAAUUGCAUUUUUUCCUCAACUUUAAUAUUUAUUGAUGAGAAUCAAUACAGGUCCCUCAUUUGUUAUAGAAAGCUUUCUUUCUUGUAGUCUCACCAGUUAAUUCAGAGGUCUAUAAUCAUCUUGCAAAGUUAAGGGCAUUUCUUUUGAUCUAAAGUCUUUGCAUCACCACCUCAUCACACGCCAAGCCAAUAUUCCAUUUACCUCUACAACAAAAAGUUUUAAUUAAACAAUCCUAAUGCACGCAGCCAAAUAAAAUGCAGUAAGAAUAUUCAACUUAAAAAUCUGAAAGCCAACUUGGUGAAUUGCCUCCUUAGGUGAAGUUCCAUGCUUUACUAUAGUUGACAGAACUCAGCAAAAGCUUCCAUACAACAGAUUUUGAAAAUGAUGAUGCCAACAGAUACUCAUUCAAUGCAUUGAAACUCCAAAGGUUCAUUGUUCAUAGAAGUUUACAGAGUUUUGGUCAUCAAAUAGCUCAGACCUAAUCCCAAACAAAAAAUGAGUGAAAAUUAGAUCACGAGCAGCUAAUUGUAAAUUCUAACUUAACUCUUCAUCUCCUUUGUAAACAAGAAACAAAAUGGAGACACGCAAAAUGAAUAUGGAGAAAAUUUGAACUCAAAUGAAAUGAGGGCAUGAAAGCAAACAAAUGGCAUGCACCAAAAAACCAAGCCUCAAUCAAAAACUAAUUAACCAUUAAGAAAAAAAUUGGUCAGAGAAUGAACUCCAAAUUCAGGAGUCAAGCAAGAAGCUUUCAUUAUUAUCAAAGUCAAUUAUCUUUGUUAGUAUGCGAGUGUGACGACUAUAGGUUGUUCUUUUUCUAAUGUCAUAUGAUUCCAAUUUUAGGUACAGGGCAUCUCUCUCUCUCUCUCUCAUCGCUAAGUGGAUAUUUUUCUCUUUUGUCAUAUACUUUAGUUAUUCUUCAAUUUACUAACUAAAAUGAAGGCCGCUUUAUUAAGAAGUUAUAUCCAGUUAUAUAAUUUGUUGUAUUUAAUAUAUGUUUGGGCUCAUAAUUUUUUUUAAAAAUAUAUAUUUCAUUCUCCAUAAUUUUUUCCCAUCAUAGCUACGAAACGUCUUAGUUUCGACUAAAAUCCUAAAAUUGGUCCUUAAUUGAAUAUGCAUUGCAAUUUGCAAAUGUAAUAUUGUGAAUGGGACACUGGAGAUACCAAAAUGGUCAAAUGCGAAAUAAGUUAGGAUUGUACGAUGUAGUUUGUAUUCAUAUUCAAUGCCUUUUUUUUCAAAAAACAAAUUGAAAUGCCAUUACUAAACGAUUCUUGAUGAUGGGAGCCACCGUGCCAGCUUUGUCGCUGAUUUGGUAUUAUUCUUAACUUGCAGAUAGUUGUGGAUAUGAUAUGCAAAAAGGUAAGGACUAUAUCUUCUUGAUGGAGGCCUCUGAUUUUUUCCCUUCUAUGUAAUUUAGUAAAUCGCAUUUUCCCUUGUGAUUGAUAUAUCAUACCAAAGUCAAGUCUUAAAUACUGCUGUCAUAUGUUAAGGUUCAACUUCCAUUUUGAUUAACGUCCAUUUGCUGCUGCUUCCAAAAGUGAGAAUGAGAUACUUUGGUUAAUUUCAGUAGUUGAACCCAAUAGAGUACUUUAUUUAGAUCUUCAUGGUUCAAAGGCCUGAAAAAACUUGCCGGUAUUUGCAAAAUGACAUUCUGUGCUUUUAUUUAGGCUUAUUAUUUAAGUGAUAAAAACUCCCGUAACCUGCUGUCAAGAAAAUUUCAGAUUGUUAAAAGACAACAUUUUGUUUCAGCCAAAAAUGUUUGUUUCGAUUAAAGACUUGAACCAUUUUCAUUUAACCUUGAUUGUGAUGCUUUACAUUAUGCAUGUUCCUCUCAAUCAAUAAAAGUUGAGGUCAUGAUUUUAUAUUUCUAUUUUGUAACUUGAAAUAAUUGGUCUGCCUGUUUCUGUAGCUUGAUAACAUGAAUUUUUCCUUCUGAAGUUAAUUUGAUCAAUAAAGUAAUUCUUCGGAGAUGAUAUGCCCAUUCUAUAGUCAUUUUCUUAGGUAACAUGUUUUUUCUUCACUCUUCAGAGCAUGUCUAAACUAAUUGAUCGCUCAGCGGAGACUUUGGGUGAGAAGACAAAAUUUCUUGGUAAAUCCUCUAAAAAGGUAUGCAUAAUUCCCGAGUAUUAAAUAAUCAUUGGUCAUAAUUUUUGUACACAACUCUUUUUUUGGAGAUCGUUAAAAGUGGUUGAUGAUCUAUUUUGUAAUAUCAUAGAGGGAUCAUGAAUUCCUGUUCUUUUCUGUGGCUAGGCAACACUUUCGGGCCAAGCUAAGGAAAUCUAUUUUAGGUAAUGUGAAAACCAGUUGUAGGAUGUAAUAGUUUAUUAUGCCCUGACAAUAACUUUUUGUAUAAUUGUCAGUUUAAUGAAUACAAGAGGAACUCUGUUGGCAAAUUCAUCCAUGAUAGAUGCUAAAAGUAUUUAUGCAUACCAGUUGCCUUAACUAAUUUUUCUCAACACUGGUAUUGAACAGGAAAAUGAAUAUGCAAUUUGUAUAUUGUGCCAUUGUGGAGAAUUUGGAUAUUCUUAUUUAAGUAACAAGGAGAGUAUUUGCCUCAUCUUUAAACAAUGAAUCUUUGAGAAAUGAGGAGUGGGUGAUUGGCAGUGUCUUCAUGUAAAUGUUCAUUUAUUUGUAUUUUGAACUAUUAUGAGAAUCUUUGUAUGCCAAAUUAGUAAUACAAAUGUUCAGAUGAUUUUUCCUGUUGAUCAUGCGUGUGUAUCUGCACACAACCAUUGUGUCCCACUUUAUUCUGAUGCACAAAUAUCUGUAGUUUAGAAGAAAAGAAAUAAUAAUCAUAUAUUAUUGCUUGGUUCAUGAUUAUUAAACGAUUAUGGCUUUAGAAAAUCCACAAAUCCUUUGUGUUCAUAUAUGAAUGUGCGAAGUUUGCUAUCUCUUAGAUUACCUUCUUCCAAGAUAACAAGUUCAUAUAUUUUUUUUAAUCCUUUUUCAUCACAGUUGAAUUUCAAGUGUAAGUUUUGUUAUUAAUAGCUGGUUUCCUGUUAUUAUGAUUUCAUAAACAGUGAGAGGAUAUGUGCUCUACUUUUGGAGGGCCUCCACAUGAAAGAAAAUUGCAACAAUUGAAUUCUUCCGGAGGGUAUGGUAUUUAAUUUAUUUUCUCAGCUUGUUGUAAGACUAAUAUAUUUCCUUCAGUACCCAAAAGGACAGAAAUGAAUUACGGAAGGAAGUUUUUGCUGCUUUAUUUAGUGCUGCUGAGAAAUCUGAUGGAUUUCCUGAAAUUACGGUGAAGACGGAGUGGAGGUCCAACGCAUUAGGAAAGGUGGUGAGUGAACCGCCGGAGGAAUUAGUACCAGAAUACAAGGCUAAUGUGGUGCACUUGCAGCAAGAUGACCAGACCUGUAUGUGCUCUUAUAUUAACUAUAUUGGUUGGAUUUGUGAGUGUGUACAUUUUUGUGUGUAUACUCACAUUUGUAUUUAUGCAUAUUAACGUGUGUAGGAUUCUUGAUUUCUGCCACUUACUGGAGAACUAGUGGAAAGCUUUAUACUGAUAUAUGUGCUAUAACUAAUGGAAACUACAAUAUGAAUAUUUUCUCUCACCUGGAGAACUGUGUAACAGAUAUAAUUUGUGGCUCUGGAAUACUGAAGAUUCUGCAAUAACUAAUGGAAAAUAUGAUAUGAAUAUUUUUUCUCACCUGGAGAACUUUGUAACAGAUACAUUUUGUGGCUCUGGAAUGUCUAAAGAAUGCUUCAGUUUAGAUCAAAUAUCUUUUAGUUAGAAAAGAUAAAAUUCUCUGAAUCUGAAAGACUGAAACAUUUUGCAUAUUUUGUGAAAGGGAAGUAUCUGUAGAUACUAGCUCAUGCAUUGAGGUAAUAUCAAUGUUAAAGAAAAACAGCAAUAAUUUAUUAUACAGAAUUAGGUUCACUUGCUUUAAAUGCUGGUCUGAUCAACCAUAACAACCUGUAAUGGUCCUGCAGAAAUAUAUAUACGGGGAGAAACUAGCUAAAUUUUCCUUUCACUUAUGGGUUUGGUCUUUUUUUCCCCUAUUUUUCAGCUUUCCUUCUCCUGAAGUAUGUUAACAAUUGCAGAUAAUGACGAAGAGGACCGCUUCCAGGCUCUUUGUAGAGCUGUGAUGGAAUAUAGGGGCACAAUGAAAGAAUAUUGUAAGGUUGUAUGUACUUUCUCUCUUGUCAUUUAUGUUUUCUCACACAUUUUGUUUAUGCCCUGAACAUGCAGCUUUGUAUGUGUCAAUUGCCUUUUACGUUUUAAAAGCCAUAAAGUAAGAAUACAGUUCCUUGUCAGGCUAUUGAUGCGUUCGCUCAGAAGGGUCAUGUUCAAGCAGGAAAACUUCUAGAACAGGUAAGGUUUCCAUCUACAGCCAUCCAUUGACAGCAGAUAUAUUUUCAUUAAGCAGACACUGUUAGCAUUCAAGAUGCUGGCAGAUUCACUUGAUUCUUAUUAGUUUGUUUAGUGGCAAGGCAUAUAACCUGUAUUUCAAAGCCAAGUUGUGCUAUUGAUUAUGUUAACUUUAUUGUUAACAUAAAGUGAUAUGGAGGACAUAAUCAAUGUAGGAAAAUUAGGUGAAGAGAUGAUGUCAAAUCUUGAACCUCUUACAAAGCUCCAAGUUCUUUACUUGAAGAAGCUGCCAAAUUUGAAGAGCGUCUACUGGAAGGCAUUUCCAUUCCCAGAUGUAUGCAGAAUUUUUGUAUUAAUGCCCAGUUCUUAAGAACCUGCCACUGGAUUUUCAAGGGGUGGGCCAAGGUAAAAUUCUUAUCAAGGGAAAGGAAGAUUGGUGGAAAGAACUUCAAUGGGAGGAUCAAGCAACUCAGAAUGCAUUGCUUCCAUUUUUCAAAUCAACUGACAAGUGAUUGAAGGGGGCAUCAUCAACAUCAUCAACAGAGAUGGAGAGAUUCUGGAGCAGAUCAGCAGGGUUUGUAUAUGAUCUUUGGUGGUUGCUUUCUUUUGUGAUUUUUUUUUUCUUCCUGUCAUUUUAUCAUUUCUUUGUCUCUUUUUUUAUUGCUGAUGUUAGUGUAUGCUUACUGUUGCUUGACAAAGUUCGCUUGCUUCUUGUUUAUUAAAUUUUUUAUCGUCACAAAAUAUUACUUGUUCUAUUUGAGAGUGAUGUGAAUCAAUUUUCAAUUAUAUAUUUUGUGGUCAAUGUGAAUUCAAUUUCAUUUGUCUCCUGCAAUUAUGAGAAAACUGCAGAGUCAUAAUAUGGAAAAGUACACCAGCAAAAACUUUGUAAAAGCUUCGGAGUGAAACAGGGAAUUCACUUACUACUAAGAACAAUUGAUGGCGAGUUAUUCCAUUCAUUUUAUGUCCAUCUAUCUAUUUAAUUAUUAAAGAUAAAUGGUCCAUUUAUAAAUUUCAGAUUGUCUCUCUCUGAAAAUAACAAUAUUUAAAAUAUCUCUUAAAUUAUUAUAAAUUUUAAUACACUCUCGAUUUAAAAUGGAACAUGCUGAUGAAAUUGUUUUCUUCUUAAUAAAAUUGAAAUAAAUUGUGUUUGCAGUAGUUUGAAAUAUUUUAAAGAUUAUUAUUUUAUAAGGGAGUAAUAUGAAAUGAAAUUUACUUUUCAUGCGUGAAAUGUUGAAAAAGGACAAAGCAAGUGUCCCUGCUUUUAUUUUUAUUUUAAAGUGGAGUCAUCUCACAUACUUUAGCUCUAUCAUUACAAUUUUUCAGGUUACAUUUUUAUUAUUUAUUUAUUUUCUUUUUUACACAUGCAUGUGGGUUACUUUUCCGUAAGCUCCUCAAUAUAUAUUGAACCCAGCGAAGAAUGUUAUGGAAGAGCAAAUUAAUGAUAUUUCUGAUAGAGUCUAUUUGAUUAUGUAGCCUGAAUGGAUGUCUUGUUGAAAGAUAUCUCAGUGCAUUAGUUCAUCCUUGUCUGUCAAUGUGUUUUUAAUGGUUUUUCCAAUUGUUUAUUAUUAUAGAUUGAUUGUAAAUUGAUAUGAAAAUUUGAUAUGAAUUUAAUGUUGAAAUGUUUUCUCUUUAGUGGAAUGAAUUUAAAAGUGCAAAAGAUUAUUGCACACAGAGAAAUAAACAUAUAUGCUUUAUAACUUUAGCAAUCGAUUCUUUUACAGCUGGAAACAGAGAUGAUGAUUAUCAUAAGGAUGAAGAAAAGUAGUGCGUUAGACGAUUAGACUCUCUUAUUAAAGGCAAGUAUAAAGUAGUGAAGAAUCCAAUAUCUCUAUUGUCUAGUCUUUUGUUUAAUUCUUCUUUUAUUAUUUUUCAGAAUAAUUUUUGGUGAUUACAAUCGGGUUAUUAUUCAGAGUUAUUGUUAUCUUCUGGGGCAGUUUCUGUUCAUCGAAUUCAUUAAUUAAAAUUUUAGAACUCUUAUCAGAAGAAUAUUUUUCGGUUAUCUUUUUUAUGUUCUAAUUCCAAUUGUAAGAAGUAGCCAUUUUAGAAUUUGGGUCUUGAAUCGAAUUUCAAUGCAUGAAUUAAUAUUAAAAAAAAAAAAUUCACUACUCGCAGUUUAGGUUACAAAUUACUUUUUGGAAAGUUGACUUUGGAAUGUUUGCAAAGAAAGAGACUAACAUAUUUCCAAUUACACUAAAUCUCUAUUAUGAUAAUGUUAAGACUAAAUUAAUUUAAAUAAUUUUUAUUUGAAAAUUAUAUCAAACGCAGUCUAAUUUUAUUAAUUUUAAGAAAUAAUAAUUAUAAAAAUUAUUGUUCUGACUUAAUUAAUACAAGUGAUAUAAAAGUUAAGUGUGCACUAAAUCUGUUUUAAUUUUUUCCAGUAUAACUAACAGAGGUCAUUACUAGAAUUAUAUUACUAGUCUAUUAGAUAGAAAAAAUUACUUAUAUUGUUUUAUAUUUAUUAAAAAAUUUAAAGCCAAUUUUUUUAAUUACUAUUUAAAGAAUAUUAUAAUUUGAAAAAUUUUAAUAUCUUUAUUAAAAAUUUAGAAAUUUACAGUCCUCUAAAUAUUUAAGGCGUAACUGUCAUUUUCUCAAGAAGCUUUAUUUAAUAUUAUUGAUUUAAAUAAUAUCUUAUUAAAAAUGUACUGAGGAGAAAUUUUGGUGGGUAUUUUAGUCUUUUCAGCAAUCAUCAUGAUUAACCUUUGGUUGGCCUUGAAACGUCGGUCAGAAAAGUUUUAAAAUGCUUAAUUGUUUUUCACUGUUAACGUUAGUGGCCUUGAAAUUGCUUAUAUUUUAUUAAAAAUUAAUGCUAACAAGAAAAAACUAGAUCGUAUUCCACCCCCAAAGCAAAAGUGAUAAAACAACCGGCUGUAUUCUUUUAUUAAACUACAAAUUAAAAUGGAUUUCUUUAAUUAAAGUGGAUAUCAUUUAAUUAAUGUUUGAACAUUAAAGUUCUGAUAUAUAACCACUAUGCCGACCACCUAAUUGCUGCUAUUUAAUUUCGUUCCAGUUCUCUCUCUCUCUCUUUUUCUUUUUUUUUUGGGCCAAGCAAUAAAUAGUAAAAAUUCAAUAAAAGCAAUAUUAAUGCUGCAAGUGAGUCAUGUUAUUUAUUGUCAAUUAGGAAAUGUGAACCUAAUUUGAUUGCAUCCCUUUAAUCAUUUAAUAAUUAUGUAAGCACCAUCCCUUUAAUUAUUUAAUAACUAGAAAAUAGAACACUGCGUUUCACGCGGCUUUGAAAAAAGAAUUUAGUAUUAUCUUUUUUUCUUACUUUACACUUGAUGAAACUGAUAAAAAAUAUGAAUUGAUUUUUUUUAAAGAUGAGGCAGCCUUAUAAAAAAUAAAAAAAGCUAUUAGCCAGCAAUACAAAUAAAGAAGGAAUGCAAGAUAAAGAAUAAAAUGAGAGAAUAUAUUAUAGAGUGAUCUUAUUCAUUCUAAUUGUGUGUGUACAAAACAAAAAGAUGAGCUCUCCUUUUAUAACUACAUAAUUACUUCAUGAAAUUAAUGAAAAAUUAUGAAUCAUAAUUUCUUGUGAGAUAGUGGGAGUUAUUGGGAAGCUAAAAGUUGCUAAUGGGAGAUAGUGGGGAGACUAAGAGAUAUAUAUUAUGAACAUCUACAUUUAUUUUAAUAAAUUCAUAACACUCCCCCUUAAAUGUUCAUUACAAAGAAUAUGCCUCAUUAAAAUCUUUACAUAAUUGUUAUUGUGUAAUAACAAUCAAAUUAAUUAUAAGAAGAUGAAAAGCCAAAUCUAACAGAAAAUUUCUCUAUUUAUUAGAUAAUAGAGAAUAUAGCAAGAUGAGAAAUGGUAAUGCCACAUCAUCUCCUCACGUCCCAACUUUAUAUAUAUAUAUAUAGAUAAUAUAUAUUAUUCCUGUCCUACAUUCACAUAUUUAAUUGUCCUUUUGAAAAUAUUCAUGAGUUAGGCCAAGUAAAGUCAAAGAAAUUGGGAAAAAGGAACAAAAGGACAAACCUAAAUUAAUUGAACCUAAUUCAUGAAAAUGCACACUUUUGUGUUGCGGACGGCGGACCCUAAAGCUUCGUUGUUUGCAGCUGCAAUUAAUUCUUUUCCUUCAAAAGUUAGAGGCUCGUGUUUACAGUGGGUCCCGAAUCGGACGUACCUAAUAAAUCUUUUAAAAAAAUUUGCCGUAUAAAGGACAGAGGUCAUUACUGAAAUUUCUCUUCCACGGGCAAUUACAGCAGCUUCAGUUAAUCAAACUCAAAUCAAUUUUCUUUCUUAACAAAAUAUUCCAAAGAUGUGUAGCAUUUUUCAGAUCACAUGCGAUGGUGCUUUUUUCAAUCGUUGCUUGGAUUGCUUUCUUGGAAAAGCAGCAUACAUACGUAACCUCCAAGAUAAUCUUGUAGCCUUGGACACUGAAUUGGGAAAUCUGAUCGCUAAAAAGAACGAUGUGAUGAGGAGGGUUGUCGAUGCUGAACGGCAACAAAUGAGAAGGCUGGACGGAGUGCAAGUGUGGGUUUCGAGGCUCGAUGCUGUUAAAACUGAAGCCGAUGAACUUAUCACAGACGGCUCUCGAGAAAUUGAAAAAUUAUGUGUUGGAGGCUACUGUUCCAAGAACUGCAGGUCAAGCUACAAAUUCGGAAAACAAGUGGCAAGAAAGCUACGAGAUGUGGAGACUUUAAUCGCCGAGGGAGUUUUUGAGUCGGUGGCUGAGAGAGCUCCGGAACCUGUGGCAGAUAAAAGACCCACUGAGCCAACAAUAGUAGGCUUGCAAUCACAGCUUGAACAAGUUUGGAGAUGUCUUCUUGUAGAAGAAUCAGCGGGAAUCAUUGGCCUAUAUGGUAUGGGCGGUGUUGGUAAAACCACACUGUUGACCCAUAUCAACAAUAAAUUUCUUGAGAGUCCCACCAACUUUGAUUGUGUGAUUUGGGUCGUAGUUUCAAAAGACCUGCGACUUGAAAAAAUUCAAGAAGAUAUUGGGAAGAAGAUAGGUCUGUUUGAUGGUUCGUGGAAGAAUAAAAGUGUUGAGGAGAAAGCCGUAGACAUCUUGCGGAGAUUAGGAGAGAAGAGGUUUGUAUUGUUGUUAGAUGAUUUAUGGGAGCGGGUUGAUUUAACAGAAGUGGGCGUUCCACUUCCCAGCCCACAAAAAUACUACAUCAAAGUCGUAUUCACGACCCGUUUCAUUGAUGUGUGUGGUAGCAUGGAAAGUCACAGGAAGUUUAAAGUGGCAUGCUUAUCAGAAGAGGAUGCUUGGGAGCUGUUUCGAGGAAAAGUAAGGCAAGAAACUCUUGAGAGUCAUCAUGAUAUCGUUGAGCUAGCCCAAACUGUGGCCAGAGAGUGUGGCGGUUUGCCACUCGCGCUUAAAACUAUAGGUCGAUCUAUGGCCUACAGAAAGACAGCUAAGGAGUGGAGACAUGCAAUUGAAAUGUUAAGGAGAUCAGCUUCAGAGUUUGCAGGUUUGGGAGAAAAGGUGUAUCGUCUUUUAAAGUUUAGCUAUGAUAGUUUGCAGAAUGAUACGAUUAGAUCUUGUUUCUUAUAUUGUUGUUUGUAUCCUGAAGAUUAUGGCAUUCUUAAAUGGGAUUUGAUUGAUUGUUGGAUUGGUGAGGGAUUCUUAGAGGAAUCUGACAGGUUUAGUGCAGAAAACCAAGGAUACUACAUUGUGGGCACUCUUGUUCAUGCAUGUUUAUUAGAAGAGGUGGAAGAUGAUAAAGUAAAAAUGCAUGACGUUGUUCGUGAUAUGGCUAUAUGGAUAACCGGUGAAAUUGAGAAGGAGAAGCGAAACUUUUUGGUUUGUGCAGGUGCUGGAUUAAAAGAGGCACCGGAUGUUGAAGUAUGGGAAAAUGUGAGAAGAUUGUCAUUGAUGCAAAACCAAAUUGAAACUCUGUCAGAGGUUCCCACAUGCCCUCAUCUUCUCACUUUAUUUCUUGACUUUAAUAGGGAGUUGAAGACUAUUGCGGAUGGCUUCUUCCGAUGUAUGCCUUCUCUCAAAGUUUUGAAGAUGUCAAACUCUGGAAAGCCUUGGAAAGGUUUGGAAUUAAAUUUGGGGAUGCCAAAGUUGGGUUCACUACAGCUUCUUGAUAUUUCACACACCUGCAUACAAGAUUUACCGCAAGAAUUAAAGUUGUUGGUAAAUCUGAAAUGUUUGAAUUUGAGGCGGACAAUUUGGUUAAAUAAAAUUUCAUGGCAACUAAUAUCAAAUUUUUCAAGGUUACGUGUGUUGAGAAUGUUCGCUACUGGCUGGUUCAAUUUUCAUGAAGCACCAGAAGACAGCGUUUUAUUUGGUGGGGGUGAAGUUUUGAUACAGGAAUUGCUCGGUUUGAAAUAUUUAGAGGUAUUGGAGUUGACCUUGGGAAGUUAUCAUGCUCUCCAAAUUCUUUUCAGCUCAAAUAAGCUAAAAAGUUGUAUUCGAUCUCUUUACCUCCAGUUGACCGGAGAUACAGCGUUAAUUAUUGAUGCUACGGCUUUCGCAGAUCUAAAACACCUCAAUGAAUUACGCAUUGAGUCGGCUACAAAGCUGAAAGAAUUGACGGCUGAUUAUACAGAGAUAGUUCGAAAAAGGCGGGAACCUUUUGUUUUCCGCAGCCUUCACCAUGUUACUAUACAAAGCUGCCAGAAGUUGAAAGAUUCGACAUUCCUCGUUUUUGCUCCAAACCUCAAGUCUCUUUCGAUAGUCAAAUGCAAUGCUAUGGAAGAAAUAAUCAGCGUCGGAAAAUUUGCUGAGACUCCUGAGAUGAUGGGACAUAUAAGUCCUUUUGAAAAUCUCCAAAUGAUUGAUUUACUAGGUUUGCCACAUUUGAAGAGCAUCUUCUGGAAGCCAUUGCCUUUCACUCAUCUGAAAGAAAUAUCUGUGCGUUAUUGCCCUAAUCUUAAAAAGCUUCCACUCGAUUCCAACAGUGCAAAGGAGCGUAAAUUUGUUAUUCGUGGAGAAGAAGACUGGUGGAACCCACUUCAAUGGGAGGAUGAAGCCACUCAAAUUGCUUUUCGUUCCUGUUUCCAACCCUUGUUCCUGAACAGUGGUCGCAAAAUUUGAUUUCUGGUGAGUGCGUUUGUCUUUUAAAAAGAAUAAUUUAAAAGAAAUUUAUUCUUGUCGGUUUCUUCACUGUUUUUAUUUCAGUUUCUCUCUCUCUCUCUCUCUCUCUCUCUUUUUGUCUUCUGCAAAUCACAAUUACAUUUUUAUUCUUGUCGUUUUCUUCACUGUUUUUAUUUCAGUUUCUCUCUCUCUCUCUCUCUCUCUUUUUGUCUUCUGCAAAUCACAAUCAAAUGUUGAAUUAAUGGAAUUAAUGCUUCAUAAAUUUGCCGGCACUGCCAUUACUUUUUUUUGGGGGAUCGAAUUGAUACUUUAUUUAUAUCUUCUUAGCGAUUUAAUUUCCUGUCAAAAGACGAACGAGAAGAACAUAUGACUUAAACCAAUGCUCGCAUAAACUUGCUGUAAAAAGAUAUAAUCUCACUGAAAUGCACACGCCUAGAAUGAAUAGAAUUAAAACAGGGAAAAUAUUAAGUAUAUUAGCCCUCUUUACUGAAAAUCAAAUGACAGUAAAUUUUUUGAAGUUUUGAUUUUCUAUGGUCAAUUCCACCUUUUGCAAUUUCUUCUGUUCUAACAAAAACCAAUUUCUUUGUUCAAGUAUUUUCGUUUGGAUAUUAAUAAUUCUCCACCGAAAGAGUGAACUCUUGCUCAAAGGGAUCUCUAAUAAUACAUAACAUGAUUAUUUUCGUUUGAAUAAUUGAUUUCUUGAUUGAAUUGUCGUGUAAUUGAUUUAUGGGGGAUGACACAUCAACAUACUUGAAAAUACACUAAUCUCAGCAUCAUCGGUUAAUAACUUUUAGAUUUAUGGGUAAUCAAUAGUUAAGAUUAGUUGUCAUUAAUACUAAAUAAUUUUUACUUUUUUUGUCUCUUCUAGAGGAUCUUCUAGAAAAAUGCAUCCACAAUUAAAUUUAAUACUUUACAUAAUAAACAAAGCCUAAAUGUUAAAUUUAAGAAACUGCAUUGUAUUUCAGUUGAAGUUGACUUUAAUAUUUAGGGUAGAAAAACAAUUAAUUUUAUUUUUUGAAAUGUCCAUAUUCAGAGCACAUUUCAAAAAGACUCAAUAAUUUCUCAUAAAUUUCAAUUAAAAAUAUUCAAUUUGUUGUUUCAGUUCUUUUAUUUUUUAUUUUUUCCGACAUGAAAGCGACUUAAUGUUACUAAAUUGGGUGGUCUUUGGAUUUUCAUGACCCAAUAAUUGGAACAAAACAAUUUUCUCAAGCGCUCUCCCGCAACAUUUUAUAAUUGAAGCCGCUGCCCCGCCCGUGGUUUCAAACUUUUUUCUUUCUCCUUGUUUAAAUUAAUGGGAGCAGCCUCCGUCCUUGACUAGUUGACUGCUUGUCUUCUUUUUUUUAUUAAUUAAUUAAUUCAGCCGCCCCCCUUUCUUGUCCCAAUAUCUUCUACUUUCGGUUUCCUUUUAUUAUCUCUUUAUUUUUAAAAAAUGCUUAUAAUAAUAAUAAAAUAUAAAAUAUAAAAAUAAAAAUAUAAUUUAUCAGAAAAUUAAGAUAAAGAAAUAUUAUAAGCACAUCAAUCAACAAGUGAAAAAAAAACAAUUUUAAUUUACAUUAAAUAUAAACUUUCAGUGUUAAUCAACUUUUCUAAAUAACUAAAUUAAAAAAUUAAUUGAUUUAAUUGUGGUGUAAUUGAUUUGUAGGGGAUGAAUCAGCAGCAUCAUCGGUUAACGCUUUCAGAUUUAUAGUUAAUCAAUAGUUGAGAGUUGUUAUCACUAACGCCGUGUAUUUUUUAAUGUUUUUUCUCUCUCCUACAGCAUCUUCUAGGAAAGUGCAUCCGUUGCUAAAAUUUAGUAUCGUAAAUAAUAAACCAAGAAUAAAUAUUAAAUCUAAGAAACUGUAUUGCAUUUAAUAUUUAAGGGAGAAAAAUAAUUAUAGUGUCUUUAUUAAUCAGUAAAAAAAAAAAUUAGAAUCAUAAUAAAUUGUAUUGUUAUUGAUGUAUUUAUUUUAUUUUAUACUCAAAAUAAAUUAUUUUAAAUUAUUAAAAUAAUUUAAAAUUAGUAUUUUAUUUUAUACUCAAAAUAAAUAAUUUAAAAUUUUCAUUUCUUGUUUAUUUCGCAAGUUGUUAUUGCCUAAUGCUAUGUCAACUCGAACAUUAGCAUUUUUUUUUUUGGUCCUCUUUUAACGCAAAAUUAGUGUAGGUUAAGUAACAUAAUCAAUAUUAGGACAAUUUGAAAUCCCUAUGGGUGCGUUUGGUACACUGUAUUGUAUUAUACUGUAUUGCAUUAUUUUAAUGCUGAUGUAUUGUAUUAUGUUGUAUUGCAUUAGCACUGUAUUAUAACAAUGCUAUACAAUAUUUGGUGUUACAUUGUACUGUAUUAGAUUUUAAUUAUAUUAUAUUUAGUGUUACAAUUGUUGUAACAUAAACACGACCAAAAUAAAUUGUACUAAAUAAUCUAAGUAAGAGUUCUGUAGUAUAUGUAAUAAUACUAUUUAUAUUAUUAUUAUUAAUAAUUCUAAAUUAAUAUUAUUUAAUUUUAUUCAUAUUUAAAUAUGUAUUAUUAGUUUAUUAAAUUAUUUAAAAUAAUUAAUUUAUAUAUAUUAAUUAUUGUAACUUAAUUAAAUAAUGUAAUGCUAUAUUAUAUUUUUAUAUACUAUUUAAGUAUUUAUUAUUAAUUAUAUUUAAUUAUAAAUUUAUUAAUAAAUUAUAAUAUAAAAAUAAAAAAUAAAAAUUAAUAUUGUAUAAUAUUAUAUUAAAUUAAAGUUUUAUUUUUAUUACUAUUAUUAUAAAGUAAAAAAAAAAAAAAGGGAAGCUACUGACUUUUGAAACACAAAAGUCAGUAAUACAACCUAAUCACGAGGGGGGGCGCGGGUUUUGAUAAUGCGGCAAAAGCUGCAUUGUAAUGCUGCUCAAUGCAAUCCAUUUGAUCACCAAACACAGGUAUAUUUUAACUAAUGCUGGGCCCACAAAAUAAUACAAUGCAAUUCCGCAUGCCAAACAUACCCUAUGGGUGCGUUUGGUACACUGUAUUGUAUUAUACUGUAUUGUAUUAUUUUAAUGCUGGUGUAUUGUAUUAUGCUGUAUUGCGUUAGCAUUGUAUUAUAAUAAUGUUGUACAAUGUUUGGUGUUACACUGUACUGUAUUAAUUUUUAAUUAAACUAUAUUUGGUGUUAUAUUGUAUUGUAUUAAUUUUUAUAAUUAAUUAAAUUAAAUAAUUAAAAAAUAAUAUUUAUUAAUACUUAGAAAAAUAAUAAAUAUAGAAAUCUUAAUUGUAGAAAUUUAACAAAUUUUUUAGUAAAUAUUAAAAAUUAAUGAUUAAAUUUCUAAAAUUUGUAUUAUAAUUAUGAUAAAAUAAAUUUAUAAAAUUUAAUAUUAUAUGUAAAUAAUAAAUUUAGAUUAUAAUUAAUAUUAUAAUUGUUAAUAUAAAUUAAUAAAUUAUUAUUCAAUAAUAUUCAAUUAUAUUUUAAUUUACAAUAUAUUAUUAUUUUUACAUUUUAAUAUAUUAAUAAAUUUAUAAUUUAACAUAAAUAAUUAUAAAUUUAAAUAAUAUUAAUUUUAAAAUUAAUAUUAAUGUAAAUAAUAUUAUAAUAUUAAUAUAUUAUUUUUAUAUGAAUCAUUAAUAAAUAAAAUAAUAUUAUCAUAUAAUUUAUUUUUAUAUUUUAUUCAUUAUAUUAAUAUUUAAUAAUAAAAUAAUUUAUUUUUAUAAUAUUUUAAUAAAAUAAAUUUGCCUCAAUUGAGGCAUUAACUGUUGCCUCAAUUGAGGCAAAAAGCUUCCGCAUCCCUCGGGUUUGCGUAAUGCGGCCCCAUGCCUCAUUAUGCUGCAUUAUAAUGCAGCAUAAUGAGGUGUCAAAUUUUGCCAAACAUGUUCUUGGUAAUAAACUAAUGUGAAUAGUAGUAUAAUACCACAUAAUCUCAUGCACCAAACACGCCCUAUGUGUAUUAUUCACGGUAUCUAUGAGGGCUUAUCCUUUUGCUAGAACAAACUCUAGCAAAUUGUCAAAUGUGCUUAUCCUUUCCCUUGACGACUCAUUUUAAAAUUGUCACUCAUUUUAAAAUUGUCUUUCAAUGCACAAACACAGACAUAACCGCCGACAUCGAGCACCAAGUUUGGAAUUUAAUUGAUAAGCAUACAUUUGAUAAAUUAAUGAAAAGUUUGGAGAGUAGUUUUGAUCACCCUUGAUUAGGACGGUAUUACAAAAAAGAUCAAAAAGAAAACAUCGUCUCUCUUCACAAAAAUAAAUAUUUUCCGUUAGAAUUUAAUACAAUAAUAUUUUUUUUGAUUAAAAUUUAAUUAAAUACACAAAUAAAUUAUAUAUUUUUUAAAAAAAUUUACACCCAGUCACAAGGCUGGCUAUUAAACUUAAAGGGUGGAAGCUUCGGAGACUAAAGUUGGUAACUUCUCCAAGUGGUCUUAAGUUGACCGGAACUACCCAGACUUUAUGUUUGGUAGCCUAGACCUGAUCGGACCUAGGCCCAAGUUUGGUCUUAAAGUCCACAAUUAAAUUAAAAAAAAAUUAUUUGAUUUGUAAUUGAUUUAUGGGGAAUGAAUCCGCAGCCCUAAAAUUACACCAAUCUUGACAUAAUGACAUCAUCGGUUAAAAACGUUCAGAUUUAUGGUUAAUCAAUGGUUUGAGAUUUGUUAUCAUUAAUGCUAGAUAUUUUUUAACAUUUUUUUCUAUCUCUCUUCUCCUGAAGGAUUUUCUAGGAAAAUGCAUCCACAACAAAAAUUUUAAAUUGUAAACAAUAAACAGAGUAUAAACGUUAAAUCUAAGGAACAUCGCUGCAUUUCAGCUGAAGCGAACUUUAAUAUUUUACGGAGAAAAAUAAUUAAGUCUUUAAUGUGAUUUAUUGAUUAAUAUAUAUGACUAAUUUUUUAAAAGAAGAUGAAGGAUGAAGCUUAAAAAUAUAAAUUAUAGAAUUAAUUUAUCUCUUCAAUAAAUCUAAAGUUUAUUUUUUUUAUUACAUGCUUCUAUUUUAUUUUUAUUCCAUGUUAAUGAAUGGAGAUUUAAAUCCAUUUUGGAUUUAUAAAGAUGUUUAGAUAUUUAAAUCCACGUGUGAUUCCAAACUUGAACCUUUUUUUUUUUUUUUUCUAAUUAAUGCAAACAGCCGCCUCUUUGACUGCUUUUCUUCUUUGUUUAUUAAUUAAUUAAUUCAGCUGCCCACCUUUCUUUUCCUAAUGUUUUCUACUCCCAAAUUUUUUUAAGGACAAGGCUACGUUGCAGACGCUGUACCUAACAGCUGCACCUUCGCCAGCUUAAAAAAGGGUGCAUUUGGUAAGCAACUUUUCUUUCGUGUGCAUAUGUGUCCUGCCACCAUUGGGUGUGUACGUAACAGAUAAUGUACCGUAACAAGCUCCUAUUUUUAAAUUUGUUUAUAAUGAUAAAAUAUAAAAAUUAAGAUUAAAAUGUAAUGUAAUGUAAAAUUAAAGGUGGAAGAGUAUUAAAAUAAGGCUAAACCUAUGUUACGUUUAACGUAACAUACAUUUAAAUAUAUAAAAUAUCAAUGGAAACCCUCAAAUUUUAUGGAAACUAUAUUAAUAAAAUUAAAAGAAAUAUUUUUAAAUCUGAAAGAAGAAAUAAAAGAUAUAAAGCAAGAGAUAGGAAAACUAAAAAUAGAAAUAUCUGUAAAAGAAAAAGGAAAAGAAAAAUUAGAAAUAAAAGAAACAACUCCAACUGAAUCGAAUUCAGACUAAUGGAAGAUGUAUUAGAAACUUUAACUGAAAAAUUCAGUGACAUAAAUCUUAGUGAUUUAGAAGACUUUGAAAAAGAAUAUUAGAUAAAAAUGAAUACUGCUGGAGGACCAGAAAUGAAACCUAAUGUAGCAUAACCAAGUCAUAGAUAUGGUAUAAAUAAAAUGAAAAAUAAACCUUUUUACGAGUAUAUACCUCCUAUUAAAAAUACUCCUUGGAAAAAAGAAUACAAACCAAAUCAAGAUACAUUAACCCCAAUAAAUAAUGCUGGAACAUUUUUAAAUCUAGAUUGUAAGAUAGACAUUCGAAAGGCGUUAGCAGAAUGGGUGUUACAAAUGAAAUUAUUUUUUAUAUUUAACGGGUCAAAGGAUGACUAGAAUGUAGAGACUGAAGAAGAAAAAAUAGAUAUAUUUGUUGAAAUCUUAAUAGCCAGUUUUUCAGGAAAUGUGUUUAAUUGGUGGAGAGGAUUAAGCGAUGAUACACAAAACUUAAUAAAAGAUUCAACCAAAUAGCAUUUAGAAAAAAUAAAGCCUUAGGAAUGGAAAGGAUAACUGAAUACAUAGCUAGUGAAUUUUUAGGAGAAGAUUGGCUAGAAAAAUCGGGCAUAUAUGAAAAUUUAAAAAUUUAUGAUAAAAAGAUCUUAGUGUUUUUAUUAAAAAAUUAAAAUUUACAUGACUAUUUCUUUAAAUAUUUAGGGCAUAUAUGAACCACGGAGGAGAAAAGCUUUAUUUAAUAUUUUAGAAUAGUUUUUGAUCAGUACAAUUGGGUCCUUAUUCAGAAUUAUUGUUCUCUUCCGCAACAGUUUUUGUUUAUCAAAGUCGUCAAUUAAAAUUUUAGAAUUCUUAUCAGAAGAAGUAGUCGUUUUAGAAGUUGGGUCUUGGAUCAAAUUUCUACGAGUGCAUGAAUUAACAAUAAAAAAAUUUCAUUACACACGGUUUAAGCUACAAACUACUAUUUGCACAGUUGACUAUAAAACUUACCUCCAAUUACACUAAACCUCUCUAUUUGGUAACGUUGAGACUAAAUUAAUUUUAUUAGCAUGAAAAGAUGAUAGAAAUAUAAUUAUAAAUAUUAUUGUUGUUAAUCAAUUAGUACAUGUGAUAUAAAGGUUAAAUGUGCACUAUAUUUAAUAAUUAAUUAGUGGAGCAUGUUAAACAAAAUGUUAAUGUAUAUUUAUAUAGUGUUAGGAAUAUGCAAAGUCAAGUCCUCAAUUUGCAUUAUCCUGUAUAGAAUAUUACUCUAAAAAUGUUUUACUAUAAUUGGCUUAGAACAUUUGUAAAGAAAAAUAAUAAUAAAAUAAUAAAUAACAUACACCGUCACAUAGCACCUAGACAAUGAUAGAAAAUUAUUAAAGAGAGUGCAAACAAUUAAUUAGAGAUUUUUAUGAUGACUUUUAAUAUUCAUGAUAAUAACAAAUAAAUACAUGUAUCACUUUUUUAAAAUAUUAAAUUUGACUGCUCCAUUAAUAAAUUAUUAUUGUAAUUCAGACUCUAUCUAUAUAUCCUUGCACUAAGAAUAAUUAAGGUAACGUUUGUUUUUUAACUUAAUGACUUAAAGUGACUUAACUUAAUUAAUUAAGUUAAUUAGAGGUGUUUGUUUUAUAACUUAAUGAGACUUUUUAGAUAAUUUUGACUUAAUAAAAUAAGCUAAUUUUUUUUGGCUUUUUACUUAAUGGAGAAAUCUGAAUUAAGUCAAUUACUUGCUAAUGUCAAAAAUAUCCUUGUUUUAUAAUUUAUUUUUCAUGUCUAUCCCAAAACUCGCCCGUAGAUAUUUACCCCACAUAAAAAUAUCCCUGUUUUUUUCUUUCUUAUAUUAUAUACGAUAAAAUUUGAAAUUUAUAGUAUUUUAUAUAUUAAAAUUCUAAAAUAAUUAUGUAUUCACUUGAAUAUAGUUUUACUUAUAAAUGUUAAAAUAUGAUGGUAUUUAAUAUAUUAUUUAUUUGACAUUCAAAUUUAAUAAGGAUACAAAUGUAAAAGUACAUAUUUUCAGCUUUUUAAAUUGAAAAAAAAUAACUUAAUAUUUAUUUUCUGAGAUUCAGACGAAAAAAUAAACAUAUUAUUCAGAUUCAUACAUUCAGAUCUAUUCAGAAUUCAAACUAAUUCAAGUCUAUUCAAAUUUUAGACAAAAAAAUAAACGCCACCUAAGUCAUAAUAAAAAUUUUCGUAACUACAUCUCGUUUCUUCCUCAUAAUAAUAAUUAGAUUGGUUCGAAUAUUAUAACUAUAUAGAUUUAGUGUAUAGCCACAUCCAAUUUAAAUAUUGACCCAAUUGGGAUGGUCCCCAAAAAAAAAGAUUCGUUAAAGGAUAAUUCUAAUUAUUUUUACUUCUCAAACGUUAGUGGGACGUUUCUAUUAGCGCACUCGUAAGCCAAGUUGUCAAAUAUUUAUACUAAACUACAAUUGCUAACAAGAAAAAUCAAGAUCGUGUUAAGCAAGUGGGUCCCGAAUAGGACGUGCAAAUCUCUCGUAAGUCAAGUUGUCAAAUGUUUAUAUAAAACUAACAAUUACUGACAAGAAAAAUCAAGAUCGUAUUAAAAAUGGGUCCCGAAUAGGAUUAUCUUUUUAAGAAUAUUAUUAUUUUAUUAUUAAAAUUUUAUUAAUAUAACAGUAUUAAAAUUUAUUAAAAAAUAUAUUUUAUUAUUAAAAUUUUAUACCGUUAUCAAUUUAUUAUUAUUUUAUUAAAAAAAUUAAUAUUUAACAAAAAUUGAGAUAAAAAUUAAUUUUUGUUCUCUGUCUUUAUUUAUUUAUUUAUUUUUUUGGGUCUUCUGCAAAUCACAAUCAAAUGUUGAAUUAUAAAUUUGCCGGCAUUGCUUUUUUUUUUUUUUUUGGGCCGGGGGGUGGUGUUGAAUUGAUGCUCUGGGUUUUUGACUUUUGUUGUCAAAUUUUACUCUGUUUUUCCCAAAUUGAUGCUANNNNNNNNNNNNNNNNNNNNNNNNNNNNNNNNNNNNNNNNNNNNNNNNNNNNNNNNNNNNNNNNNNNNNNNNNNNNNNNNNNNNNNNNNNNNNNNNNNNNNNNNNNNNNNNNNNNNNNNNNNNNNNNNNNNNNNNNNNNNNNNNNNNNNNNNNNNNNNNNNNNNNNNNNNNNNNNNNNNNNNNNNNNNNNNNNNNNNNNNNNNNNNNNNNNNNNNNNNNNNNNNNNNNNNNNNNNNNNNNNNNNNNNNNNNNNNNNNNNNNNNNNNNNNNNNNNNNNNNNNNNNNNNNNNNNNNNNNNNNNNNNNNNNNNNNNNNNNNNNNNNNNNNNNNNNNNNNNNNNNNNNNNNNNNNNNNNNNNNNNNNNNNNNNNNNNNNNNNNNNNNNNNNNNNNNNNNNNNNNNNNNNNNNNNNNNNNNNNNNNNNNNNNNNNNNNNNNNNNNNNNNNNNNNNNNNNNNNNNNNNNNNNNNNNNNNNNNNNNNNNNNNNNNNNNNNNNNNNNNNNNNNNNNNNNNNNNNNNNNNNNNNNNNNNNNNNNNNNNNNNNNNNNNNNNNNNNNNNNNNNNNNNNNNNNNNNNNNNNNNNNNNNNNNNNNNNNNNNNNNNNNNNNNNNNNNNNNNNNNNNNNNNNNNNNNNNNNNNNNNNNNNNNNNNNNNNNNNNNNNNNNNNNNNNNNNNNNNNNNNNNNNNNNNNNNNNNNNNNNNNNNNNNNNNNNNNNNNNNNNNNNNNNNNNNNNNNNNNNNNNNNNNNNNNNNNNNNNNNNNNNNNNNNNNNNNNNNNNNNNNNNNNNNNNNNNNNNNNNNNNNNNNNNNNNNNNNNNNNNNNNNNNNNNNNNNNNNNNNNNNNNNNNNNNNNNNNNNNNNNNNNNNNNNNNNNNNNNNNNNNNNNNNNNNNNNNNNNNNNNNNNNNNNNNNNNNNNNNNNNNNNNNNNNNNNNNNNNNNNNNNNNNNNNNNNNNNNNNNNNNNNNNNNNNNNNNNNNNNNNNNNNNNNNNNNNNNNNNNNNNNNNNNNNNNNNNNNNNNNNNNNNNNNNNNNNNNNNNNNNNNNNNNNNNNNNNNNNNNNNNNNNNNNNNNNNNNNNNNNNNNNNNNNNNNNNNNNNNNNNNNNNNNNNNNNNNNNNNNNNNNNNNNNNNNNNNNNNNNNNNNNNNNNNNNNNNNNNNNNNNNNNNNNNNNNNNNNNNNNNNNNNNNNNNNNNNNNNNNNNNNNNNNNNNNNNNNNNNNNNNNNNNNNNNNNNNNNNNNNNNNNNNNNNNNNNNNNNNNNNNNNNNNNNNNNNNNNNNNNNNNNNNNNNNGAAGGGUCUCUAAUCAAUAGCUGGAAGCAAUUGAGAAGGCGGUUGCUACAGUGAAUUCAAAUGUAAAAUGUUUGCUAUUCUUCGAUUUGGUUAAUGAUUUCGUAUGAAUAUUGUUGUUCCGUUGAGUUGCAUGCGAAUUCAAAUGCAAAAUAUUCUUCGAUUUUCAAUUUUGAAAUCAAAUUUUUUUUUCCUUCUCAAGCAUGUUAUGCAGAAACGAUUGUCAUGUUAUGCAGAAACGAUUUUUACUAAAUCAUUUUUAACAAACUAUUGAAAUUAAACCACUGGAAUAAGAAUUGUAAGGAUUUAUCGUAAGCUUACUAAUACGAUAAUUCUGAAACUAUCACCUUUUUUUUUUUAUUUGUUGCAGGGAAACCCAAAUUUUGUAUUUUGUCAAUUUCAUCUGAUAUGGAAUUUAUUUCCUCCCUAAAGAUUUAUCAAACUGCUUCUCUUCCCUGCUUCAAUAUCUUUAUGCAAUUACGAUCUCAUAGGAAAAGAGAGUUUGGGUUGUAUAUCUUAUAGUAUUUAUUUAUUUUUUGUUAAAAGAAAUUUAUUUUAAAAUAGUUUAUAGCAACAGUUUUUAUUUAACAAUAAUGAGGAAGGAUUAUUAUAGGUUCAAAUAGUUGUUAGAACAUUAUAAAAAAGUCCAUUUACUAUCAAAUGUUUUAAAUUGGUGCAACGUGAUAAUUGUCUCAUAUAAUUUUUUAAGGGUAAAAACUCGUUUCAUUCCCAUAUUUUAAGAUUAUUACUCAUUUAGUCUUUAUAUUUUUAAAAAUGUUUCAAAACAUUCAUACCCUUAAAUUAUUAACAUCUCUGCUGUUACUUUUUAUUUUUUUUUGACUUGUUUUUACAAUAUUGCCCUCUUACAAUAAUGUUUCUUUUUAUAAAAUUAAUAAAAAGAAAAAAAAUUAAAUUAUCAAUUUAACCCCAAAAAUAAAAUAAAAAUAAAAAGAAUAAAUAUUAAUUUUUGUGAAAGUUUACAUGUGUCCAAAAUAAAUUUUAUUGUAAAAAUAAUUAAAUUGCCUUUUUUUUGGACAUUAGUAAUAAAAAAAUUAAUAUAUUAAUUCCUCAGCAGUGUGUUACAAAAAAGUAAAAUAUAUUAAUUUUGUUUUUAUUUUAGACAAUGAGAUAGAGAAAAGUACAAGAUAAAGGAAAGGACUUCAAAACUCACUGUUCAUCAUAAUGCCCUUUGCCUUUAAAAAAAAAUCAUUCUAAUAUUUUAUAACACAUAAAAUAUAAUCCUAAGAUAAAUAUAAUAAUACAUAUUUUAAACUAAUCUCGAUAUUUAAAAUAUGUUUUAAUAUUUUAUAAUCUAUCAGACAUAUUUUAUUAUAUUAAUGUAAAAUUUAUAAUAAAUACAAACAUAUUAUUAAAAUAAAUAUAUAAAAAAUAUUUAUUUUUUAUAUGUUUACACUGAGGACUCUCUUUAAUUCAUUUAUUUUCUCUCUCUCCAAACAGGUACUGUCUUCAGUUAGCAAUGCUAUGAUAGUAAUCCAAUUCUCUUCUCCCCCACCUGAGCGAGAUUUGAAUUUGAAUCCCUUGUUUUUCACCCACUCUGUUUUUUUUCACGCAAGAUUUGACAAUUUGAGUUAAAAAAUAUGGUCCAAAACUUGAACACGUAUCUUUUAAUUGUAAUAAAAGUUCUUUAAGCUUUGGAGAUGGCAUAUAUAUGGCUGGAAGUGUCCUUUUCUUUGACCUAGAGGCAGCACCAAGCUAUCCAGCAUCAUCAUUUUUCAAGUGGGUCUUAAAUGCCUAGAAACGUUGGUGUUUCUUGAUUUAAAGAUGACACAUGCUAUAAGUGUGAAUGGUUUGGCUAAGCCUAAAUUUAAAGUCUACUCAAGUCGCAUUCAGGAUCAUGGAAAUUGGAAAGGGAGAGAUGAUAGCAAGAUUUAUAAUAAACAAUUAACUUGGGUCCUCAGUGUACAAAGCAAAUGCCACGCAAGCGAUAGCCGGCCCAGCCCAGAAAACCCAGUGGCGAUCCCAGAGAUGGCCUCCUCUAACGAGUGCUGGGCCCAAAAAUCUUUGCGGGUUGAGCCCAGCUCCGGCAUAGCCCUUUUGAGCAGUAACAGUUGUCGAGACAAAAACCAGAAGACCCAACACUGUUCCAAUGACAAUGCAUACGGUAAACUCUGCCAAGAGCCUUGGCUUGUCUGGAGUCAAAAGCCAUCCACACAGAAGCAAAAAGGAACACAAACGAGCAAAUUAUCUCAAGCCAAAGGGCCUGCCUAGUCCCCAAGCCGAUCUCAACAGGCCCAUCUGGCCCAGGUACGACAACAUUCAGGGUGCAGCCUCCAAGUUGUCAAAUAUUUAUAUUAAACUACAAUUGCUGACUAGAAAAAUCAAGAUCGUAUUACAAGUGGGUCCCGAAUUGGACGUGCCUAAAUCUUUUUAUAAUUUUCCCAGUGUAGCGGACAGAGGUCAUUACUAAAUUUCUCUUCCACACGCCACAGCAGCUUCGGUUAAUCAAACUCAAUCAAUUUUCUUGGCUUCUCCGCUUAUCAAUAUUACAAGGUAUGGGUAGCAUUUUUCAAAUCACAUGCGAUGGUACUAUUUUCAAUCGUUGCUUAGAUUGCUUUCUUGGAAAAGCAGCAUACAUAAGUAACCUCCAAGAUAAUCUUGUUGCCUUGGAGACUGAACUAAGGAAACUAAUCGCAGCAAAGAACGAUGUGAUGACGGCGGUUGUCAAUGCUGAACGGCAACAAAUGAGAAGGCUGGACCAAGUGCAAGUGUGGGUUUCGAGGGCGGAUGCUGUUAAAAAUGAAGCUGAUGAACUUAUCAGAGGCGGCUCUCAAGAAAUUGAAAAAUUAUGUCUUAGAGGGUUCUGUUCCAGGAACUGCACGUCAAGCUACAAGUUCGGAAAACAAGUGGCUAAAAAGCUACGAGCUGUGGAGACUUUAAUCGCCGAAGGAGUUUUUGAGGCGGUGGCUGCCGAGGUGGUGCCUGAGAGAGCUCCAGAGCCUGUAGCAGAUGAAAGACCUACCGAGCGAACAGUAGUAGGCUUGCAAUCACAACUUGAACAAGUCUGGAGAUGUCUUGCAGAAGAAUCAGCGGGAAUCAUUGGCCUAUAUGGUAUGGGCGGUGUUGGUAAAACUACACUAUUGACCUAUAUCAACAAUAAAUUUCUCGAGAGUCCAACCAACUUUGAUUGUGUGAUUUGGGUAGUAGUUUCAAAAGACCUGCGACUUGAAAAACUUCAAGAAAAUAUUGGGAAAAAGAUAGGUUUGGUUGAUGAUUCAUGGAAGAGUAAAAGUGUAGAGGAGAAAGCUCUCGACAUCUUCCGGAGUUUAAGAGAGAAGAGAAUUGUAUUGCUGUUAGAUGAUAUAUGGGAGCGGGUUGAUUUAACAAAAGUGGGCGUUCCACUUCCAGGACCACAAAAUACUACCUCAAAAGUCGUAUUCACAACCCGUUUGAUCGAUGUUUGUGGUAGCAUGGAAGCUGACAGGAAGUUCAAAGUAGCAUGCUUAUCAGAAAAGGAUGCUUGGGAACUGUUUCGAAAAAAAGUUGGGGAAGAAACUCUUGGAAGUCAUCAUGAUAUCGUUGAGCUAGCCCAAACUGUGGCCAAAGAGUGUGGUGGUUUGCCACUCGCACUUAUUACUAUCGGUCGAGCUAUGGCCUACAAAAAGACAGCCGAAGAGUGGAGACACGCAGUUGAAGUUCUAAGAAGAUCAGCUUCGGAAUUUGCAGGUUUGGGAAAAGAGGUGUAUCCUCUUUUAAAGUUUAGCUAUGAUAGUUUGCAGAAUAAGACGAUUAGAUCUUGUUUCUUAUAUUGUUGUUUAUAUCCUGAAGAUUAUGGCAUUCUUAAAUGGGACUUGAUUGACUGUUGGAUUGGUGAGGGAUUCUUAGAGGAAUCUGACAGGUUUGGUGCAGAAAACCAAGGAUACUACAUUGUGGGCACUCUUGUUCAUGCGUGUUUACUAGAAGAGAUAGAAGAUGAUAAAGUAAAAAUGCAUGACGUUGUUCGUGAUAUGGCUCUAUGGAUAGCUUGUGAAAUUGAGAAGGAGAAGAGAAACUUUUUGGUUUGUGCAGGUGCGGGACUAAAGGAGGCACCUGAUGUUAAAAGAUGGGAAAAUGUGAGAAGAUUGUCAUUGAUGCAAAACCAAAUUGAAACUUUGUCAGAGGUUCCUGCAUGCCCUCAUCUCCAUACUCUAUUUCUUGCCUCUAAUAAUAGUUUGCAGAGGAUCACCGAUGGCUUCUUCCAAUUUAUGCCUUCUCUCAAAGUUUUCAAGAUGUCAAACUGCGGGAAUUUAAUUUUGGAAUUACCUUUUGGGAUGUCAAAGUUGGGUUCAUUGGAACUUCUCGAUAUUUCACAUACCUACAUACAAGAGUUACCACAAGAGUUAAAGUUGUUGGUAAAUCUGAAAUGUUUGAAUUUGAGGUGGACAAGCGAGUUAAAUAAAAUUCCACGGCAGCUAAUAUCAAAUUCUUCAAGGUUACGUGUGUUGAGAAUGUUGGGUACUGGCUGGUUCAAUUUUCAUGAAGCAUCAGAAGACAGCGUUUUAUUUGGCGGGGGUGAAGUUUUAGUACGGGAAUUGCUCGGUUUGAAAUAUUUAGAGGUAUUGGAGUUGACCUUGCGAAGUUAUCAUGCUCUCCAAAUUGUUUUGAGCUCAAAUAAGUUAAAAAGUUGUAUUCGAUCUCUUUACCUCCAGUUGACCGGAGAUAGAAAGUCGAUUAUUGAUGCUACGGCUUUCGCAGAUCUAAACCACCUCAAUGAAUGAUUGAUUUUUAAAGGUUUUGAGUUGGAAGAAUUGAAGAUUGAUUAUACAGAGAUAGUACGAAAAAGGCGGGAACCUUUUGUUUUCCGCAGCCUUCACCGUGUUACCAUAGAUUCGUGCCUUAAAUUGAAAGAUUUGACAUUCC